rnacentral:lncRNA from 1 species
GGAGGCGGUAGCCCUCCUCCCGACGGUGGUGGUUACAACUCUCCUCCAACUUACGGAGGCGGUAGCCCUCCUUCCGACGGUGGUGGUUACAACUCUCCUCCAACUUACGGAGGCGGUAGCCCUCCUGAUAUUGUCACCCCAAGCCCUCCUGAUACCAUCACCCCAAGCCCACCAUCCAUCACUCCAGGCACCCCUACCAUUCCCACACCUCCAUUUGACCCAAAUUCUCCUGUCCCUGGUACAUGCACGUAAGUAUUUAUAUGUACUGUUGUGUAAUGACUAAAAAACCACAAUGGUUGCACACAGUUUUUAUCACAACUUGCACAUGUUAAUAGUUUCAUGCAUUUAUAUGUUUAUUUGCAGUUACUGGAGUUCUCACCCGGGAUUGAUAUGGGGUCUGCUGGGCUGGUGGGGUACAUUGGGCGGCAUAGGUGUGCCUAGCGUUCCUGGUUUUGGGUCAAGUACGAGCCUCCUGCAAGCUCUUUCCAACACUCACACUGAUGGAUUUGGAGCACUCUACAGAGAAGGAACUGCAUCCUGGCUCAACUCCGUGGCCAGCCAUAGAUUCCCUUUCACAACCAACCAAGUCCGGAACAGUUUUGUAGCAGCACUCCACUCAGACAAGGCGGCAGCAGCUCAAGCUCGGCUCUUCAAGCUUGCCAAUGAGGGCCACCUCAAGCCAAGAGUCUGAGAAGACACCUUAAUUUAGCUUUAUCAACCACUGUCAGUUUCUUUUUAUGCAUUAUAUAUUUUGCAUGUGGUGUGAACUACAGCUACUUAAUUAAGAUUUUAAUUUGUUUUUACUCUAGUAUCUUAAGAGAUCUGUGAUGUUACAGUACUUGUCAAAGAUACUAUUAUGUUCUAUUUUAACUGCUUAAUUUUAUGUUCUUUAAGUUUUGGAAAACAUUCUUGGUUUAGUUUCCUUACAUUCAACAAAACUUAAAUUACGAGGACAAAACUAUUAGGACUAGUUAAGUAUUUUUACAGAAGAAGUAAAGAAAGAGCUUAAAAAUUUCACAGGCUUAUUUUCCUUUAUUUGACCGGUAAGGCAGAAGCUCUGGUUUGAUUAAAGAUAAUAGCAAUAAUAAUGGCUACAUAACUUUCUCGACACAAACAAUGCAGCCAUGCACGUGGGUGAUGCUGUCAUUAAUGACAGCACGCUGCUAUUCAAACUACACAAAAUGAAAAAAGGCUGCAUUUAAUGACCAUAACGCUAAGUAACAGGCUACUCAAUCAGCAACAGUUAGUUCAUUACUGAAUAAUUCUAGCAGAGUUAUCAGAAAUCCCCCAAGAAUUAAAAUAAAGGUUUGUUUGAUUUUUUUCUCAAAAGACUUAAUGUAUUUUAAUACAAGCUAUUAUAAGGAUAUGUGUUUUUAUCUCCCUGUUAUCGUAAGUCUCUCACCCUAUUCUUUGUUUACUCUACUCUCCCCCCGCCCCCCCCCCCCCCAAUUCUUCUUUCUCACAAGUCUUUUACAGAUUUAUUUUUACAUCAAGAAAGAAUAUUCAUAUAUUUAUUCAGUUUCAAGUAAAUCCCCUCCUAAAAAAAGAAAAGAGUAUCAAGUAAAUCAAAUCUACUCAAACUAUUAUAUAAGAAAACAACACAAUCGAAGAGUUGAAUGACCUGAACAUAAUAUUAAAGAAGAAACAAGCUGCCAUGCCAAUGGAUAUAAAGGAAAAUAAGAUCAAUUGUCCAUUGAUUUAUAUACAAUAGAUAUACCACUAAUUUUUCAGUUGCUGUGCAGUUUCCGGUCCAGAUAAGUCUGUUAGCUAAUACAUUGCCUGAGGCAGAUCCUGCAAUGUCAUACAUUUACAAAUGUGGAAGUGCUUAACAAAAAUUUUGAAAACUCGAGAGUUGUAGGUGUUAAUCAAGAUAGGAUUCAUAAACCGUUCCGAAGUUGUAGGUGUCGAUCAAGAGAGGAUUCAGAAUCAUUUACAAGAAACAAAAAUGCCUGCCUAUAUUCAAACUUUUAACCAUCAUUUUUGAAGGGUAAAGACUACAAAUGAAUUGAAUUAAUGCUACAGUGACCAAACUAGAACAAAAUAAAAAACAAAAAGUUAUCUCUAAAUGAGUAAAUGUUGUUUUGUCUCCAUAUUGUAAAAGCAAAUAUCUGGUGCUUUCAUUUAAAUGAGACAUCAAUAUUUUUAAUAACUGAUUAUCUAGGCUUAAAUUAAUAAACAAACUUGGUUACCGGCCUUCUGAUUUUGCAAAGGAGUGCAAUUUUCCAAGCCAUCUUUUCUUAUCACCUAAGAACCCAUGCAUCCUUUCCACAAAGUGAGAUUUAAACCUAACUCAUUUCCUAACAAACAGUGAAGUGCAGAAAUCCCAAGCACUCAACAACAUAAUCAAAUAACAAGAACAACAACAAAGAUGCUGUGUGUGGGCAUGUAAAUGAAAGACUGCAUUCGACUCAACCAAAGGCUGUCUUUAUAUGAUAGAAAAUUUAAACUCUCAACAAACAUCAAUUUUAAAGUCCAUCUGGACCAUCCCUAAAAUGCACCAGAGAAUGGCUGACAAGGCAUAAAAGAUGAUUUCUUGCUUUUUCCUCCAAAAAUAUUUUCAAUAUCCAAAAACUUCUUCCUAAAUGAAAUGUAGAGGCAGUGUUAUCUUAAAAUUUAAGCUUAAAGAACCAAUAGAAUCUAGACUCUGAACUACAAGUUCAGCAGAAGCAUGGCAAUAAAAGAUAUAAACCAAAAUGGAAAAGUAAAUAAUAGAAAGGCGAUCUUCAUAGCAGAACAAUCAUGCAAAGAACUCUGAUCAGCAAUAAAAACUACUUGUAACCCCCCCGCCCUCCCCCCCCCCCCAAAAAAAAAGAGCAAAAAUCCAAGAUUUGUAAAGAAUUUUAUUUUCUUUUUACAGAUGGCUAAAUUUAACCAGCAUCUGGGGCUUCUCUUACAUUUCUCGACAUAGAUAUACAGCUUCAGGCCUAUUUAACCACAUACGGGGACUUAACAUUUGGUUUCUCUACAAAUUCAACUGAUCUAUUUAGCUUCGGAGGUCAGAUCCAAACUACCAAUAGGUAGAAACCUACAUCAUUCAAGUAUCAAAGUGUUCCAGUCAAUAUUGGUUAUAGGCCUUACAACUGAUUGGAAGAUAUUUUGACAGAUAUACAGCCACAUCACCCUAGCAAAGCUGUAGAGGAAAUGGAGUCCUGAUCAGCUCAUACGAGUUUCAAACCAUUUAAAGAUCUGCUCAGACGGCAGGCUAGUCAUUUCGUGGUAUGCAAAUGCAAGAUUUAGUUCCUCCUGCACGUGAUGGACCAAAUUCUUAUUCAGAAAAAUGGCAUUGCUUUCUCGAAGAGCUUCUUUCCAACGUGUUCUACGACCAUCACUCCUCAUAUAUCCAUUCUCAUCAAUAAAGCCCUUCUCUUGAAAUAGCUCGAAUAAUUUAGUAGAAUUAGCCUGUUCAAGACCUGGAAUCCUAUCAGUAAAGAAAUUUCGUGACAAUGGAAACUCCAUGCAUUCGAUCUCUGCAACAUCAAUGCCUUUAUUUCUGAGAACUUCCAAAAAUUCACCUAUUUUCCGCUGCCUAUAUGAAUCUUUUGGCAUAUGCACAAAAAGAGUAGGCGGAUAGUCCUCUGGGAUAUCCAUUUGAUCAAACAACCCUUCAGCAAUCAUAAGAGCAAUACUACUAAACCUCAAACCCUUAGCAAGAGCAGAAACAAAAUACCCUCCGGAAGAGGCCCCCAAAGCCACAAGCGGAAGCUUUUCAAGCUUGUGUCUCUCAACCCACCACCUUAUAAUUUCUCUAACAACCAAUCUUUCUUCCCCUAAAGUCCAACACCUUCCUGCACUAGAAAUGGUAAUAACAGCAAACCCUCGGGAAAGGGCGUGAAGGAUGAGCAAUCUUUCCUCAGGCAAACCAAUGCAGUUAGGACAGUUAGGAGAUCUAUCCCAAAAGUGAACAGCUCUGCCAUUGCAUCCGUGAGCAAGAAAGAAAACUGCCUUUGGCGAAUCGGGUAUCUGCCAUAUCACAUCUGUCCCGUUCCUCAACUCUACAGUCGGGUUUAACUGAACAGAGGAAUCAAAGCUAUUCCAUUUUUGCUUCACAAGUCCAUACGAUGAAUUGGGUUUUUCACUGUUUUCGCCGAUUAAUAAUAUCGAUACUACAAGGAUCAGUCCCAAACAGGCAAUAAGAACUGGUAGCCGUGGCCCCUGCCAUGCCUUUGAUCUGCUUCCACGCUUGAUCAUUACUACUGUAAACAAAGAAUCAAUUCAAAUUCAAAAUGAACCAAAGUUUCAACAAAAAUUAGACUGCAUGCUGAAAAUUUAAAGGUGAAAAAAUGUAACUCAAUUAUGAAUCUUCGAAAUUCUUAGUGUUCACAAUUUUGCAACCUAUAAAAAAUUCCAAUCAUUUCACAGUUCCAUUUCUUUUCUGUGUAAUUCUCCUAUGCGUUUCUCCCUAACCAAACAAAACGACAAACCCGCAGAAUGCAAAUCAAUGCAAAACGUACCUCCAACAAUCGGUUUUAAGAAAACGCCAAUUUGGAACAUGAAAAUCCUCGAUCCAGUUCAGUUUAAGUUAUAUACUCCUAUUGAGCUUCGUUUUCAUUUUUCGGUGGCAGAAGCAGAAUGAGCUUGUGUGAUUGAACGCGCCUUCCCGCGAAUGGGCACUUAAUAGAGCUAACCGAUGCACCAGGACCAAGCGACGUCGUUUUCCCCCCCAUCGCUUACCGAGCUAUUCGAAUUAACCUCAUUCAUCAUGGUCCAUAACACUAAUUUUAGGGAUCUCCCUGACGUUUAUCGUAUUAAUAUUUAGAUAAAAAGUAUGAGCAUAUUAUUAGAUACCUCCCUUACCGUUUGUAUUCUAUUUGAUACCUUAUCAAUAUACAAGAGUAAUUUCGUAAAAAAGUUAUCUAAAAUGUUGAAAGAAUCAAAAGCAACCUCAUUGACUGCUGUGCACUUCAUUAUCCACCGGUUCCAAGGAUGCAUUGAACAAAUCUUCUCUUUCAUCUUCAAAACCCAAGCUAAUUAACAAUUAGAGGUGGUAAAAAUACACGUUCGGUCUGGACCCGGACCGUACCCGGGCGUUGUGGGCCGGGUAUGAAGCUGGAUCGGUCUUGGGCAUCACUUGAUAAAUUCGGAACCCAAAUUUUAUUAAAAAAAUAUUAUAAAAUAUAUAUUAUUUUAAAUAUUUAUAUUUAUUUGACUCAUUUAUUAUAUAUAUAUAUAAAGUUUUAAACAUGUAAAGUUUAUAUUUUCAUGUCAAAUUUUAUUGAAAUAAAUUUAAAACUUAUAAAAUUACCAAAAAAUAAAAAAUAUAUACACAUAAUAUUAAAGAAUAUAAAAUUCGGGUACCCGGAUUAAAACCCGGCCCAGACUCGGACCCAGACCGGUUGCAUCCGGGCAGGGUCCGGUCAUUGCAAUAUCCGGACCCAACCCGGGGUUUUGCCAUCUCUAUUAACAAUCCAUUCAUCCCAUAAAGUCUCAAACACACCCAAAUUCUUCUCUUUAUGCUUCUAACCUCGCCAAAUAAAGCUCAAAUAGUCAAAUUCGAAGAAUCCCUAGUUUGAAAGAAGAGCGAUGAACAACGAAGUGAUGGCGGCGGGAAAAUGUUGUCAUGAGUGACCAUUGUUGGCGACAAACGAGGAACGAAUGAGUUAUUAAAUCUCAUAGAAGGUGAAAACUCCAAAUAACUCAAUGCAUGUUAAAGUUACAGCCUUUUGGUUGAUUUGAUGUUGUGUUUAAAAAUGGAUUUAAUGUUGCGUUUGAGUUGUUGAAGAAGUUGUUGCAUGUUUUUAGUGUGAUUCGCACUAGUGAUAAGCUAAACAAACCAUUGUGUAUUAGAAAUUAGUUAUUUUCACGUGAUUUCUAUGUUAAACAAAAGUGGGUUUUAGCUUUGUAAUCACAGAUAUAAUUAUAAAUUUUUAUAAUAAAAUUGAAAUAAAAAAUUGAGAUUUUUUUAAUGGAAUUAAUUUUUGGGAUCGUAUUUGUGAUUACAAUUUAAGAUUUAAGUGGGUUUAUUCGCAAAUACGAUUUAAAUGUGUUAUAUAUAUAUAUAUAUAAAAGAUUAAAAAAAUUCCCCACAGCCAUAAGUCCUUUGGGUUUGGCAUUUUAGUGUGCUUUCUGUUAAUCUCACAUGUUUAUAAAUAGAGUAAUGAUACAGCCACAAACUCUUGUACAAAUUUAUUUUGUACAAACUGACGUGGCAUUAAUUCAUUAGUUGAAUGAAAAUAUAAAAUAAUAAAAACAAAUCAUGUGGGCCAAGUGAUAUUUAAUUCAACCAAUCUUAUCAUGCCACGUCAGUUUGUACAAAAUAAGUUUGUACAAGAGUUUGUGGCUAUAUCAUUACUCUUAUAAAUAAUAAGAUUCAUCUUCAACAUAUUGACUAAUUGGCAGGAACAAGUAGGGAUGGCAAAAUCCUCCAUGGGUUUGGGGCCCCAUGGAGCCCCACCCCAAAUGGGAAAAAUUUUGAAUAAUUUUUGGGGAAUGAUGUAGGAAGUGGGGGGAAAAUAAUCUUCAAAUUCUUAAUGGGGUGGGGUUUGGUUUUGUACUCCCCACUCCACCCCCACCCCAAUCCCCAUUAAAUAUAAAUAUGUUUUUAAUUCUUAUUUAAUAAUUUUUAUUUUAUCAAUUAUAAUGUCAAGUAAUAAUUUUUUUUUUUAAUUUUUAUGCAAUAUAAACAAGAUAUGAAUGAAAGAAAAUCCUAUAAUAUUUUUCAACUCUGAAAUAUUGUUAUAUUUUCUUUUCUCUUUUAAGGUGUUACGCUCUUUAAAUAUUUUUCACUUUUAAUAUCAUUUUAAGAUAUUGUUUCAAACUUUUAGAUAUUUUUUUAAAAGAAUUUAAAUAUUUUAUAAUAUGAUGAUGAUUUUAUUUUAAGUCUCUAAUUUUUAACUUACUAAAAUAAUGUAUUUAUACAUAUUAUAAAAUAGAUAAAUGGGGAAUGAGGUGUGGAUUCUCCAUCCCACCCCACUAAAUUUAUUAGGGAAUGGGGUGGGGAAUAGAUGCAAAAAUUUCUAACGAGGUGGGGAAUGGGGUAGGCCUCCCCACCCUCACCCCCACCCCAUUCCCAUCCCUAGGAACAAGAAGUCAGAACAUGCUUAAAAAAUGAAAAAUAAGAUAGAUUUUACCAAACAAAGAAGUACAAGAGAAAAGGGCAAUGAUUGAAGUUAGAGAUGGACAAGAAUUUCUCAAGGCAAAGGAAAUGGCUGCGAAAUAUUGUGCAACUGGUAGCACUCUUAAGAACUAAAGAAGCUCUUCGUUUGGUUUUGAAAUCAUAUUGUUUUUUGCACUUGGUUAUUUUUGUGUUUGUAACUUCAACGAUAAAUCAUUAAAUUUAUUUAUUUUUUCUUCUCUAAUGUUCUGUUGUUUUGUAAAUCUCAAUGGAAUUAUAAGAAAAAAAAUAUGUAAAGAAUGGAGUGUUUUGUGAUAGAAAUACUGUUUUAAUAUUUGAACGACUUGAAGCAAAUAUGAUUUGCUUAAUUGAAGUCCAGAAAUUAUUAAAUUCUUCACCAAUAUUUUUUUUAAGUUAAUGAGUAUGUAAUGUCAAGUAUUUGGUUAUUAUAGUUUUUUUAUUUUAUUUUAUCCGUGUACUGGGAGCAAAAUAUAUUUUAUUCUAUUAACAAACAACACCCUAGUGGUUGCUACGAGGGUGUUUUCGGUUUAGGGGUAUUUUGGUCAUUUUAUUGAUUUACUAACAGUCGUUAGAUGGAAAUACAAACGGCGGGGGAGAUAUUUAUAAUUACGGUCAUAUUUUAUAUUUAGAUGUUAAUACAUCAAAUCUCAUAGGAGGUCCCUAAAAAUUAUCCUGCUCCGAUAAUUCAGUUUUCACCUCCUCGAGGUUGAUAAAUGCUAAAUGCUAAAUUGACUAAAUGUCUAAAUCAAAAAGGUUAAUUUUAAAUUACCACCCUUCUAAAUUAAUUAUUUUCAAAUCAUCCCUCCUCAAAAAAAUUUCAUCAGCCCACUUCAAUUUUUACCUUACCUUUUGAAUGAAAAUGAGACUUAGAGAGUAAUUCAAGAUUUUUAAAAAUAAGGAGCUGAUUUUAAGAUAAUCAUCAGAAAUUUACCCAAAUCAAAAUUACAUAGUCAUACGUUUGACAUUAAUGUGUUUACAAUUUAGGAUGGUGUAAAAUUCUUGCAAGUUUGUCGGUUAUGACCAAUUAAACUACAUCUCCCACACUUUCGAAUGCCCCGUUCUCCAUCAGGCCGCUGCAAGACAGUUUGCUUCUUUCGAUUUUUGGCCGGCGGCUGUGUACAAAUGUGAAUGUUCGAAAAUCUCCUUAUCUCAAAAUACUCGUCCUCUGCCGUCUUUGUUGCUCGUAGUCGCCAUUUACAGUUUGUAUCCGCGCAUACAACUUCAAAUCGAUCUUUAGUUGACUUUGACACUUUGAAAGCAAAAUUCUUCUUCGCUGCUCCAAGCUUCAACUUUUUUAUCAAAUCCUUUUUACUCGUGAAUGUUUUCCCACACACAAUAUCUUCAUAAGAAUGGAAAGGAUUGACGGCCGCAGAUCUGGUGUUGGAGCGCCGGAUUGGCAACUUAUCCCCACAAUCAUCUUGGGACAAGUCAAGGCGUUGAAUAUCAUCUUGUUGCUCACUAACCUCAAUAUUGGCAGCUAGUAUUCCAUCACCACAGCCUAAAGGUGCUUCAGUUCCGAAAUUGGCAGCAACUGGAUCAUCAUUGAAUGCAUUUAGAUUUUGUUCCUCAACUUCAGUAGCUUGCAUUCCUGGCACAACUACAGAUAUUUGAUUGCUUUCACUUCGAGAGGCAGCUGGAGUCUGAUGAUCUAAGGCCGCAUGGUAUCCUUCUGUUUCUUGACACUGUGAUCCCUUGCGUUCAAUAGUGAUGCAUAUUGGACUUCUCAACUCUGUGGGAUGUGCAGCAUUUUCUUGUAUAAAGAAUCUCACAUCAUCGUCAUCGACUAUCUCUACAGGCAUGGUGGGUAUAUUUGCUUUAUAUAAGGACUUCAUUGUAAUAACAUAUUCAUUUGUAUCUACCUUGACAAUGCCAUACAACCUAUCCACGAGCUCCUUGUAAGUAAUAUCAUCUGAAACUAUGAUACCUUUCGUUUGACCACCACUGUAAAGAUAAUAACCACUCGGAGAACAAAACCAUUUGCCAUCAUACAUAACCAACACUCUCACUUGAGACAUUUUCCUGAGAAAUAAGACAUGGAUGACACUGAGUAAAGAAAACUAUACCACAAAAGAUUACAAAACAUAACAGUAAACAAAAUUAAUUUUUAAAAAUAUGGUUUGCCUAAUUAAAUAGAUUAAAUAGAGAUAUCCAAAUAAGCAAAUCAACUAGGAAUUUGUCAUUAGAAACACAUGUUGACUUUCACUCUAUCUGUUCAAUAGAAAGUUGAUUAUCUUUGCCAAUUGCUAAUGCUGUUUUUUCACCAACAUAUAUCCAAAAUAUCUGUAUGAUGAGCUGAUGACGUUUCCUCAACAAUAUCACGAAAAUUUGAAAAGAAAGUUAUUCACAUGCAACAAGAAAAAAAGAGAAAACACUUGAGUGGCAGGGCCUUUCAACAAAUCUAAAGGUUGUCUCACCUCUGUAGCUAAAAGAAAUGACCAAGAAUGGUAGCUUGUGAUAGCACUUGAAUUUGAAAUGUUCAAGCUGAAUUACUCUUGUUUUCACUCAUUUCAGUUGUUUGCAACAGUUUGGUUUAAUUUAGCGUAUGAGGAAGAUCAUUUUUGGAGACAUUGAUGUCCCAGAAGGAAGUUAGUUUUCACCGUCAAGGCAAAACUUUCUUAUUUCUUCCAUUUCUUUCUUUCAACUUGUAACAAGAUAGCUACACAAAAUAAGUACAAUGACAGUGACUCAAUCACUCACAUUGCAUUAGGAAAAUUUAACAUAAAGGCAGAGGUUUCCAAUGCAAAUAAAUGCACAAAAGGGAUGCCAAAUGGCAAAUCCACGACUCAGUUAGCUUGAAAACUUUGAUCCAUGUUUUUUCUCAACCAUCAAAACAUAAAUGUAGCAAAUUUUUCCCCUCUCAAACUUGAAAUACUAAAUCCUACUUAAAGUAUAUAACCUCAUAGCCUUUUCCACCUCAUAAACACCAAUGCAAAUGCUUUUACUAAACAAAUAUUUGACUGUAAUUAGCAGUAUAACACCAAUUCAAUAAAUAAAUAAAAAUUUACUUAACACGCAUAAAGAUUUGUUUGUACAUUCUGGCAUUCAGCGGGAAAAAUCACAUCUUACACUAUUUUGGGGUCUAAAAAUGAAAUCUAAUUCAAUUCAAAUUAUUCAUAACCCGCAAAAAUAAAAAUUGAAAAAUGGAAAAAUUACCUGGGACGAUCGGUUUUAAGCGCAGAAUGUAAAAUUCCUCGAUGCGGUUCCACUAGACUUUCGUUAUUCACAUUUGAUUGUUUCGCUUAGGGUUUCAGUUGCUGAACCGAACCGAGUCGAGUCGACGAUUUGAGCCCUUUGGAACAGCUGGACCGGCAAUUUCUCGACUGGACCUUGGUUUUGGGCCGUAGUUUUUCAAUCGUUAGCUUAACUUGUUGAAAAUUGGGUCGGGUUUUGAAACGACUAAUGUUGAUUGUUUAAAAAGAGCAUGCGUGGGUCCCACGUAUAUGACAACAUAAAUUUAUGACACUUGAAAAUAUUAUUUAUGCAUCGAAUUUAUUUCAUGAAACCUAUGAUAUUAUUAUUGUAACACGCUAGUCUUACAUUUUUAUGAUUUCUCUACUAUUAAAAAAAUAUAUUCAGGAUCAAUUCAAUAAUAUUUUUUCUUUUAAAAUAAUUCUUAUUAGCUAUAUUAUAGAAAUAAUCAGUUAUGAAAAGAAUCAGUUAAACGUUUCAUAAUUUUUUUUUUUUAAAGUGUUAUAAGUGUUCAAAACAUUCCUAUUUAUUUAGUAAAUUUUACUACUAAACUACUGUAAAAAUAUAAAUAAAUAAAUUAGAUAAUGUUGCAUAAAUUUUAUUUAAACAUUUAUAAACAAGUAUAUAAAAUAUUUUUUUAUUGUAUGCAUAUAAUAAUUGAUAUUUAAAUAAAUAUUUUAUAUUAUUAAUUUUAUUUUUAUUUCAUCUCAAUAUAAUUGAUAAGAAUAAAAAAUUAUUUAAAGUUAAUAACUUUUUUUUAAGUUAUUAAGAAUAAUUUUAGAUUUUAUAAUAUAUAUGAAUAUAUAUAUAUAUAUAUAUAUAUAUAUAUAUAUAGGGAAUUAUAUUAAAUAUAAAAUUGAUUCUCAAAAUUAGAUUUUAAAAAGUUGUUUCUUUCUUAUUUUUCAAGAUAUAUUGUAGGAUGUGUGAUUUUGCCAAAAGUGAUUUCUAAAAAAAAUUUACCAAACAAUAAAAUUAAUUUUUAAUUUUUCAAAAUCACUUUUGUUCCUUCAAAAAACAAUCCAGAAUAGGCUCUCAGAAAAAUAGAUUUAAGCUACUCUUACAUUUAUAUUUUCUCUAAAAGCUUGGCGGGUGGUUUUCAAAUCUCUUUAGUUAGUUGCCCAUCCCAAAUUCAAAAUGUGGAACUAUACCAAUAAAAAUUAAUUUGAACUUGCCCACUCGUCUUAUCUUUUUGAAAAAAUUCAUAGAAAAAAAUCAUAAUUAGAUAAUGCUAAUGCCCCGAAUUUAUUUCAUCAAAAAUGUUGUAUUUUCUUCCGCUCAUUUCUUUUUGAUCAUUCACAAAAAUAAGAGGCAUACAAAGCAUAAAUUAAAAGGAAAGGCAGCACUUGCCAAUCACCUUUCAAUUUCAACCAAAGCGUUAAGCGAGUGACUGUUUGCAAGAAAGAGAAGCGUACACGUUUUCCAAAAUAUAUGAAAAUGCAUGUUUUUUAAGUAUCAAUUUUUUUUUUUUUUUGGGAAAAACUUUUAAGUAACAAAUUGAAAGAAAAGUAAUAAAUAUUCUGAGAAAUUAAAUUAAAUUCGAUACUUCAAGUAUAAUAUUAAAAUGGCCACUCCACCUUGCUUAAUGGUGGUAUGCUAUUUUCACAUUAGUUUGAGUUUUCAUUUGAAAAUAGAGAUUUAAAUUUUCUCUCUCAAUUAAAAUAAUCAAAUCGACGCAUUCAUCUCUCUUAUGAAAUGAGAAUAGAAUUAAGAUCUCUCAAAUAUUAGUGAGAAUAAAAAUUUAAAUUGUAAUUUAUAAAACUAACGUAGAAUAGUUAAGAAUUAUUUAAUCAUAAAUAUCAAUAGUUAUUUGAUUGUAAUAUCAAAAAUUAAAUGUAUAAGAAAAUGGACACCAUUUGGAAAUCGAAGUGACUUUUUCUUCGAAUUUGGAAAACAUUUUAAUGGUCACGAGCCAAAUAGUAAAAUUAGACAACGUUUUCAUGUGAGCUAAAAGCUUACAAGUGUGCAUUAUAUGUCUAGAGAUCUGACAAGAGAUAGAGGAAACAAUGCGAAAGCUUCCAAGUGAUUGCUGUCUUUUUAAUUUUAAUUUUUGCUUUUGUUUUGUUCUUUUGUUCUUUUUUUGUUCUUUUUUCUUUUUCUAAAUAAAGUCUCCAAAAGCCAAGACUUCUCCACCUACGAAACUCUUAAAAAUAAUAGAGAAAAUCUCUCCUACAAAUAGUUAAAACAAAGUAGGAGAAACCUAUUAUAAAAGAAAAUAAAACUUCCACAAAAAACUCUAAUAAAGUAGGGAUAAAACUCUUAUAGAAAAGGGGAGACAAAAUUCUAAAAAAAAGAGAAAAAAAAAAACCAUUUGAUUAUUUACAUGAAGAGAAGAGAAGAGAAGAUUGAUGGUGUUACGAUCUCGUAUCAAUUAAGUAUGGUAUUAGUUGAUAAUUUUGUUAAUCUAAGGCACUCUUCUUUUAGAAGUCGGGUCCUAAGCAUAUAUUUUUUACCUUGUGGAAUUGUAACAACUAAUUUCGAAAUAUUUUAAUCCCCUAAAGUUAGCCCUCACCACAUUGAUCCUGCCCUUGUAACCUUAGCGUGUCUGAACUACUGUGAAGAUCUAUAUGAGUUAGAAACAAGCCAUGCUAUUUUCGUUUAUCUGAAAUGAUCGGUUCUAAUCAAAUUUCAAAAAUUAUGAGUCUGUUAAUUGAAAUGGUUAAUUAUAAACUUGCCCCCACGUAUAGAGGAAGUAGCUUGUAGUAUGUAUGUACAUGUACGUAGUUAUCAAAUGAAUGUCUUGGGCUUUUUAUAAUAAUCAACUUCUAAUAUCAUUAAAAGGAGAGUAUCUUCGCGUGUAAUUGAAUACUUGCAAAUUCAUUCUAAAAAAAAAAAAAUGCAAAGUUAUUAUGAAUUCCGUUAAUAAUUUUCAGUAACUCCAUUUAUGUUUGUUGGGAGAAUUUAUUGAAUUUCUAGUUGGAGGCCACACAUAUGAGAAGUCAAUAUUACAUUGAUAAGCAAUAAAUGAAAGAAAACGAAAGGCAUGUAUGUCGCCUAAAUGUGACAUCCAUGGGCAAAUAAUGAUCUCAUUGGUUUUGAGAUUAGGCACCUAGUAGGCUUGGUAAAACCUCGGUUCGGUCUGGGUUUGGUGCAACUCGGGACCGGACCGGAUGAUAAAAAUUGAUGUUCAGACUUGGAUAAAAUCCGAUUUUUGCAUGUGCGGUUUGGGUUUGAGCCCGGCAUGUCCUGGAUCUGGGUUUUUUAAUCCAGGCUUCUAAGCCCGCAAACACUUCUUUCAAUUUUUUCUUUCAUUUUUAUCACCUAAAUAUCAACAAACAACAAUACAACAUGCAUUCCUUGAUUAGUGUGGAAACGGAAAAGUGAAGUAGAAGCUUUCAUUCCUUGAUUCUAAAAUAUAAUUAUAAGAUUACAACAUUAAACAAUAACAGAGUAUCUGAACACAACAGCCUAAGUAAUUUCAAGUAGGUCUCUGUGUAACUGUGUUCUGACUGUAAGUCUGUAACAAAAUAAAAAUGAAGAAUUGGAAAAAUAAAGUGGCACGACAAUAUGGCAAAUAGGCAAUAUGGCAUGUCUAAAAUCUAAAUGAGUCAAAUUAAUGGAAUUAUGGGCAUGCCCAGAAAAGAGAGACAGAGAGUAUUGAUUUUGUGUGUGUGUGUGUGUGUGUGUUAUUAUUAUUAUUAUUAUAUAGAAUACAAAAGGUAAAGCAAUUAAGCAAAAGAGAAGCAAAAUGAUGUAAACUGUAAAGAUUAUGAAUCGGAAAAAAAUGCAACUGGGAAGGCAAAAUUUUGAAGAAAAUAAAUCAAUACCUAGGGCUGGUAGUGGUGGCUGUGAUGGCAGAGUGAUGGACUGAUGGUGGAUGAGAAAGUGGCAAUGGAGAGUUGGAGACGGUGGCACUGACGCUGACGGUGCCGGAGGGGGCUGCACGAGCCACGAACGACUCACGUCACAGCCGAAUUGGAAAUGGAGCAACUGAGCAAAACUGAGUCAGCAAACGAGAAGAGAUGAUGUUGAGGGGCGACGGUGAUGGACUGAAGGUGGGUAGCCUGUGGCAGUGUUGCUGCUUAUGCCUUUGGGUUUGGGUAACUGGGGAAUUAGGGAUUUUCGGAUUUGGGCAUUUGCGUUUUGCGGGUUUUGAUUUUUUGGUUUUAUAUAUAUAUAUAUAUAUUUAAAUUUAUUAAAAAAUUGGGUCUGGGUUCCAGGUUUUUGGUGCUGAACCCGGGACCGUGCCCGGAAAUAUCCGGGUUUGAAAUUCUGAAAUCUGGAUCCGCUUUUUCAGUAUAUGCGGUCUGGAUUUUGCCCGGACUGGAUUGGUCGGAUCCGGUCCGGGCGGGUUUUUUUGACACCCCUAGCACCUAGUAACUUACUUGAGUGAUUUUUAAAUAAUUUUUUUAUUAACUAUUUGAAUUUGAAUUUUGGGAUAUGUAUGGACUAAACAACCAGUUCAUGUUUUUUUUUUUUCUAAAAAAUUUAAAAACCUUAUAGAUAGCUUGAAAUAAGUUAUUUAAUCACAUGUGAAGAUAUGUGUUGAGUGUUAGAAAAUGCAUAUUUAUAAAGGAGAAAACCGUCAUUUUACAUUUCAAGUCUUACUAACAACUCUUACUUUUAUGUAUUUAACCUUCUUGUGAUGUAAUUACGUGUGUGUUAUUUUAAUUAAGUAUUUUAUGUAUUUUAGGGGCAUUAUAGUCAUUUCACAAUAAAGGAGAGAUCAGACAGCAAAACGGACAUCACUUUUGAACUCAGGACGGUCGAAAACCUUAGGAGGAGCAUAAAAGGAAAAAUGGCACUAUUCACAUGUACGGUACUAUUCACGUAUACGGUACUGUCUACGUUACUGUUCACGACACUGUUCACAUAGACGGAUCGAUGACGUGGCAUUGACCGAUGAUGUGGCAUUGACUGAUGAGGUGUCACGAUCUUGUUGGGCUAAAAUUCUUAUGUACUGUUAAUGGUGACGUGGCAGCAUAUCAGUGGACGAAAAAAUCUCGUGUACGGUGCAUGCAUCACACAGGAUUAUUUUCAACCAAACCGCGUUACUGUUCAUCCGGGUCAAACCGCGUUACUGUUCAAAGUCGGGUCAAACCGUGUUACUGUUCAUCCGCGUGGUCAAACCGUGGACUGUUGACUGAUGACGUGGCGCAAUCCUGAGCGUCCAAACUGUUUUUAAUCCGAUGGCCAUGAUUUACUCCAUGUAUCUAUAAAAAGGGGGCCUCCCCCCCUAAUUUGAUAUCCCUGAAUCCAUUUUUGGACUCCAUUUUCUGUAAUUCCCUCUCCAUCUUGUAUUUUCUUUGUAUUUUAAUAAAUUUCCAUUUUGCCCCUAGUUCAAUUAUGAGUGGCUAAUUUUCUUUCAAGCUUGGGUUGAAGGUGAAGUCUCAACAUGUGUCAUGGGCUUUAUUUGGUAAAUUUAUUUUCUUUUCCCCUCUAGUUUUUGUGGAUGAUUUGACUUAUCGUCGACAAAUAAUACUGAUCUUGUCUAGAUACCGCCUUGGUUACACCGGCUCUCUAGUAUAAGGUUAUUAUUAUUUGGCACGAUAAGCCCUUAGCACCAUAUUGAUUAGAGCGUGGUUCAUGAGGUGUGGAUUCCCCCCUCAUGAUUUAAUUGGCAUUAAUACGGAUUAUUUAGCCCAUGAUGCAUGUUGAUACGGAUCCAGAUACCCAAGUACGUCAAUUUAAUCGAUUUUCUCUACAAUUUAUUCUCGCCAUUGCAAUUCCAAUUUUAGCAUAUUUUAAAUCACUUCCACCACAAUUCCAACCACCCAUUUUGCAAAAUUAAUUCUAUACACAAUUAAAAUCCACCUCCUCGUGGGAUCGACACUCGUCACCAUUGAUCUACACUACAAUAGAUUCGUGCGCUUGCGAGUUCAUUAAAAUUUGCACAACAAGUUUUUGGCGCCGUUGCCGGGGAGGUAAGUAAUUUUAAUUCAUAGAAUUAAUUUUUGUGGAUAAUUUCUUUUAUUUGUUUUCUUGUAUUUUUUUUUAUUAAAAAAAGAAAGAAAAAAAAGUAAAUCUACAUUUAGAGGUUAGUAUUUCUUUUCUUUUUCUCUUCUUUAAAAUUCUGUAAUUUAAUUUUCAAUUUAUUUUUUUUUUUUUUUCUUUCUUUGUAAUUUUUUGUUUAUUUUAUUAAUUUAAUUUUUAGUUAAUUUAUUUCACGUAUUUAUUUUUGUGUAUUUUUAUAGAAAGGUUGUAAUAGCGCAAUAAGGUUAGUAUCGUAAUUUCUCCCUCUUAUUUAUUUUUAUUUGUUUUGUUCUCAUCUUUAUUUUUUAUUUGUUUUGUUUGCAUCUUUAUUUUUAUUUUAUUUAUUUUGCAUGCAUGGUCGUAGGUCAUUAUUACCUAAUCUUGAACCUAUAGACCUUGAAUUAGAAAAAACACUUCGCACACACAAGAACGAUAAAAAUAAAUUUGGAAUGGAUUUACAAGCACCACAGGAGAGGCCAUUUAAGGACUACUUCAGUCCUUUAGCUAAUUUAAGCACAUCAUGCAUAAGAUACCCAAAUGUAGCUGCUAGGAGUUUUGAAUUAAAACCUAGUGUGUUAAAUUGUCUCCCCACAUUUUAUGGCUAGAAAAUGAGGACCCAUAUAAUCAUCUGAAUGAUUUUCAUGCCAUUUGUCAAACUUUUAAAUAUGAAAAUUUUUCAGACGAUGAUGUUAAACUUAGAUUAUUCCCAUUUUCUUUAAAGGAUAGAGCUCGUUCAUGGUUAAAUACAUUGCCUGCUAAUAGCAUUGCAUCAUGGGAACAAAUGGUUACAAAAUUUCUAAAUAAAUAUUUCCCAGUGCAUAAAACCAAUGCUAUUCGCAGGGAAAUUUCAGAGUUUACACAAAGAGAAGACGAGCAGUUUUUGAAACUUGGGAGCGAUUCAAUGGGCUACUCUUGAAGUGUCCACAUCAUGGGUACGAGAAAUGGCACCAAUGCCAAUACUUUUUGGAGGGAUUAUUGCCGAAUGUGCAAGAAUGGCUAAUGGCAACAAGUGGAGGAGAGCUAAUGUCAAAAAGUGCAUCAGAGAUUUGGGAAUUCUUCCAGCGACAAGCGGAUAAUUCCCAACAACGGAGUCGAUCACUCAGGAAUACUAGAAGAAUUAAGGGAGUAAAUGAGGUUCAAAUUGGCGAGUCAACUUCGGAAAUCAGAGAAGUCAAGGAGAUGGUUGAAGGUCUUGCUCGACAAAUAGCAUCGUUAUCGACUGCUAAAUCAACAGAAUCACAUGACCAUGACUCAUACUCAGAUCAAGCCAAUGCCAUAGGUGUAAUGAGAAAACCAUCGAAUUACAACCCAUACUCCAACACAUAUAAUCCUGGAUGGAGAGAUCACCCCAAUUUUUCAUGGUCUCAAGGAUUCCAACAGAAUGGACCAGCAGCUCCAGCUCCACCAAUGCAACAAAUUCCUCAAAAUCCUCAAGCCUCUCAGCCACCAUUCAGACCAUACAAUCAGAACCAGAACUACUCUCAACCCAGACCAUGGGAGGAUUCAUUCCAGAAUUUUAAGAAUGCUACUCACUCUACGAUUGAGCAACAGAACCGCACCAUUGAUGGACUACGAAAUGAGUUGAGAGCAGGCUUCAACUCACAAGCUCAAUCAGUUUCAAGCCUCGAGAAGAUGGUGGGACAACUUGCUUCUUCAGUUCAGACCUUGGCAAUGACUGUUGAGAAAGGCAAAUUUCCAAGUCAACCAGUGCCUAAUCCUAAAGGAGUGCAUGAAGCAAGUACCAGUUCACCACAACAGCAUGGAGAGGUCAAAGCAGUCAUGACCUUGCGAAAAGGAAAGGAAGUCGACAAUAAAGUGGAGAUGCCGGUGACAAAAGAAAAUCAAAUUGUACCUGUAAAUGCUGAGGACUCACCACCGGAGGAAAAAGAAGAAACCAACCCACGAGAAUACGUUCCCAAAGCUCCAUUUCCUCAGAGGUUAGUGAAAGGAAAGAAGGGAAAAUCCACAGGUGAGAUUCUCGAAAUCUUCAAACAGGUAAGUGUUAACAUCCCUUUACUUGAUGCUAUAAAGCAAGUUCCAUCUUAUGCCAAGUUUCUUAAAGACCUUUGUACUAAAAAGAGAAAUAUGCAUGUUCAAAAGAAGGCAUUUUUAACAGAAAACGUUAGUUCUAUACUCCAACAUAAAAUUCCUUUAAAAUGCAAAGACCCAGGCUCCCCCACUAUCUCAUGUAGUAUAGGGAACCACACAAUUGAGAAUGCUUUGUUGGAUUUAGGAGCUAGUGUAAAUUUGUUGCCUUACUCUGUAUUCGUGAAACUUGGACUGGGAGAAUUACACCCAACUCCAGUGGUGUUACAACUUGCAGAUCGGUCCACAAAAAUACCUCGUGGUAUUGUGGAGGACGUGCUUAUCCAGGUAGACAAGUUUUAUUUUCCUGUUGAUUUCAUUGUAAUUGACACUCAACCAAUACAGGACUCAAGGAAGCACAUCCCCAUUAUUCUAGGCCGACCUUUCUUGGCAACUGCAGAUGCUCAUAUUCAAUGUAGGACUGGAAAUAUGCAAUUGUCCUUCGGCAACAUGACUAUGGAGCUAAACAUUUUCAACAUUGCCAAACAACCUCACAGUGCAGAUGAUGGAAUUGUUGAUGUGGAUUUAAUAGAAACAAUAGUUGAUAAUACUUUUCUUUCAAACCUUAGUGAUGAUCCUUUACAAACAUGUUUAACUCACUUUGGUUUGGAUUUUGAUAUUGACAGAUCGGUCGAUGAGGUCAACGCCCUACUUGACUCAGCACCAUCCAUGGACACUAAUAAAUGGAAGUCAAGAGUUGAACAACUAGCACCAUCAGAGAAGAAACUCAUCCCAUCAUCAGAAUCACCACCGAAACUCGAGCUCAAACCAUUACCCAACACUCUGGAAUAUGCAUUUUUGGGAGAAGAAAGUACUCUGCCGGUAAUCAUCUCAUCAUCCCUAAAUGACGAACAAAAAGGUAAGUUGUUGGAUGUGUUUAAAAGAGCACAAAGGAGCAUUAGGAUGGACCAUAGCAGACAUAAAAGGUAUAAACCCAGUAGACUGCAUGCAUUACAUUCACCUUGAUGAAAAUGCUAAAACUACUAGGGAGAUGCAACGUCGGUUAAAUCCUAAUAUGAAAGAAGUUGUUAGAACUGAAGUCCUUAAGCUAUUAGAUGCAGGUAUCAUUUACCCAAUUUCUGAUAGUUCAUGGGUCAGUCCUGUACAAGUUGUCCCCAAAAAGUCAGGAGUCACAGUAGUUACCAAUGCUGAUAAUGAAUUGAUACCAACUAGAGUAACUACAGGAUGGCGUGUAUGCAUUGAUUAUAGAAAGUUGAAUUCUGUCACACGUAAAGACCAUUUUCCUUUACCAUUUAUUGAUCAAAUGCUUGAUAGAUUAGCAGGCCAUGAAUUUUAUUGCUUUCUAGAUGGCUACUCAGGAUAUAAUCAGAUUCCCAUAGCACCAAAAGAUCAGGAGAAAACUACUUUCACUUGCCCUUUUGGCACUUUUGCAUAUAGGAGAAUGCCAUUUGGAUUAUGUAAUGCACCUGCUACAUUUCCAACGAUGCAUGUUGAGCAUUUUUUCUGAUAUGGUUGAACGAUUCCUUGAAGUCUUUAUGGAUGAUUUUUCUGUCUUUGGUGACUCGUUUGAUCAAUGUUUACAUCAUCUAACACUAGUUCUGCAGAGAUGUACGAGAAGACUUAGUCUUAAAUUGGGAGAAGUGCCAUUUUAUGGUAAAACAAGGUAUUGUUCUCGGUCACAUCAUUUCGAGCAAAGGUAUUGAGGUUGACAAAGCCAAGGUGGAUCUCAUUUCUAAUCUUCCUCCACCUAAAACAGUCAGAGAAGUAAGAUCUUUCCUUGGACAUGCUGGUUUCUAUAGACGUUUCAUUAAAGAUUUUAGCAAAGUUUCUAGACCCUUAUGCAAUUUACUUGCUAAGGAUGUACCUUUUAUCUUUAAUGAUUCAUGUCUUAUGGCUUUUGAAAAAUUAAAGCAGUUGUUGACAUCAUCACCCAUCAUUCAGGCCCCAAACUGGAGCUUACCAUUUGAGCUCAUGUGUGAUGCAUCUGAUUAUGCAGUAGGAGCAGUAUUAGGACAAAGAGUUGAUCGAAUUCCCCAUGUUAUUUACUAUGCUAGUAUGACAUUGAAUGAUGCACAGUUGAAUUAUUCAACUACUGAAAAAGAAAUGCUAGCAGUAGUGUUUGCAUUAGAGAAAUUUCGAUCUUAUCUCAUUGGUUGUAAAAUAAUUAUAUUCACAGAUCAUGCUGCUCUUAAAUAUCUUCUCACAAAGAAAGAUGCAAAAGCUAGACUAAUUCGUUGGGUGUUACUUUUGCAGGAAUUCGACUUGGAAUUCAAAGAUAAGAAAGGCACAGAAAAUGUUGUGGCGGACCAUCUCUCUCGUCUCCAUUUUGACACAAUUACAGAGCCAUUAACAUUAAAUGAGUCAUUUCCAGAUGAACAAUUAAUGAAUGUGGAAGUAUUACCUUGGUAUGCUGAUAUAGUUAAUUAUCUUGUUACAGGUAAACUUCCAGAGCAUUGGACCAAGCAAGACAAGGCUAAAUUCUUUGCGGAAAUAAAGAAUUUCUUUUGGGAUGACCCAUAUUUGUUCAAGUAUUGUGCAGACCAAAUUGUUAGACGAUGUGUCCCUGAAAGUGAAAUUCAGAAUAUUCUUUCAUUCUGCCAUGAACAAGCUUGUGGAGGCCAUUUCAGUGCUAAGAAAACAGCGACUAAAGUUUUACAAUGUGGUUUCUAUUGGCCAACUAUAUUUCGAGACGCUUACACUUUCUGUUCUUCAUGUGAUAGGUGUCAACGAAUGGGGAGCAUUACACGAAGGAACAUGAUGCCACUAAAUCCAAUUUUAGUGGUUGAGAUUUUUGACGUAUGGGGUAUCGACUUCAUGGGACCCUUUCCCCCUUCUUUUGGCCAUCAAUACAUAUUGGUUGGUGUUGACUACGUAUCGAAAUGGGUAGAAGCAAUUCCAUGUAGAACCAAUGAUCACAAAGUGGUGAUAGGAUUUUUGAAAAGCAACAUUGUUUCACGCUUUGGAUUCCCUCGAGCGAUAAUCAGUGAUGGUGGUGCCCACUUUUGUAACAAAGCAUUCAAAGCUCUUUUGACAAAGUAUUCAAUCACACACAAAGUGGCGACCCCGUAUCAUCCGCAAACCAGUGGCCAAGUUGAGAUCUCCAAUCGAGAAAUAAAGCACAUAUUAGAAAAGACGGUGAGGCCAGACAGAAAAGAUUGGUCAUUAAGACUUGAUGAUGCAUUAUGGGCAUAUAGAACGGCUUUCAAGACCCCGAUUGGGAUGUCACCCUACAGGCUAGUGUAUGGAAAAGCUUGCCACCUACCUGGAGUGAACGAUUUUCUCAUAAUUUGCUUGUCAUGGAAGACUUUCAUCGUUGCUUGUAAAUCUUGGCAUUUUCGUAUGCGUCAUUGCGAAUUUCUUCAAGUUCUGCCAGUUGUAAUUUUCUUUCUGAGCUAGCUUGCUGCAUGUCAAAGUUGAAUUUCUUGAUGGCCCAAUAUGCACAUGCUCAGUUCCACAGGUAGGUGGCAAGCUUUUCCAUACACUAGCCUGUAGGGUGACAUCCCAAUCGGGGUCUUGAAAGCCGUUCUAUAUGCCCAUAAUGCAUCAUCAAGUCUUAAUGACCAAUCUUUUCUGUCUGGCCUCACCGUCUUUUCUAAUAUGUGCUUUAUUUCUCGAUUGGAGAUCUCAACUUGGCCACUGGUUUGCGGAUGAUACGGGGUCGCCACUUUGUGUGUGAUUGAAUACUUUGUCAAAAGAGCUUGAAUGCUUUGUUACAAAAGUGGGCACCACCAUCACUGAUUAUCGCUCGAGGGAAUCCAAAGCGUGAAACAAUGUUGCUUUUCAAAAAUCCUAUCACCACUUUGUGAUCAUUGGUUCUACAUGGAAUUGCUUCUACCCAUUUCGAUACGUAGUCAACACCAACCAAUAUGUAUUGAUGGCCAAAAGAAGGGGGAAAGGGUCCCAUGAAGUCGAUACCCCAUACGUCAAAAAUCUCAACCACUAAAAUUGGAUUUAGUGGCAUCAUGUUCCUUCGUGUAAUGCUCCCAUUCGUUGACACCUAUCACAUGAAGAACAGAAAGUGUAAGCAUCUCGAAAUAUAGUUGGCCAAUAGAAACCACAUUGUAAAACUUUAGUAGCUGUUUUCUUAGCACUGAAAUGGCCUCCACAAGCUUGUUCAUGGCAGAAUGAAAGGAAUAUUCUGAAUUUCACUUUCUGGGACACAUCGUCUAACAAUUUGGUCUGCACAAUACUUGAACAAAUAUGGGUCAUCCCAAAAGAAAUUCUUUAUUUCCGCAAAGAAUUUAGCCUUGUCUUGCUUGGUCCAAUGCUCUGGAAGUUUACCUGUAACAAGAUAAUUAACUAUAUCAGCAUACCAAGGUAAUACUUCCACAUUCAUUAAUUGUUCAUCUGGAAAUGACUCAUUCAAUGUUAAUGGCUCUGUAAUUGUGUCAAAAUGGAGACGAGAGAGAUGGUCCGCCACAACAUUUUCUGUGCCUUUCUUAUCUUUGAAUUCCAAGUCGAAUUCCUGCAAAAGUAACACCCAACGAAUUAGUCUAGCUUUUGCAUCUUUCUUUGUGAGAAGAUAUUUAAGAGCAGCAUGAUCUGUGAAUAUAAUUAUUUUACAACCAAUGAGAUAAGAUCGAAAUUUCUCUAAUGCAAACACUACUGCUAGCAUUUCUUUUUCAGUAGUUGAAUAAUUCAACUGUGCAUCAUUCAAUGUCAUACUAGCAUAGUAAAUAACAUGGGGAAUUCGAUCAACUCUUUGUCCUAAUACUGCUCCUACUGCAUAAUCAGAUGCAUCACACAUGAGCUCAAAUGGUAAGCUCCAGUUUGGGGCCUGAAUGAUGGGUGAUGAUGUCAACAACUGCUUUAAUUUUUCAAAAGCCAUAAGACAUGAAUCAUUAAAGAUAAAAGGUACAUCCUUAGCAAGUAAAUUGCAUAAGGGUCUAGAAACUUUGCUAAAAUCUUUAAUGAAACGUCUAUAGAAACCAGCAUGCCAAGGAAAGAUCUUACUUCUCUGACUGUUUUAGGUGGAGGAAGAUUAGAAAUGAGAUCCACCUUGGCUUUGUCAACCUCAAUACCUUUGCUCGAAAUGAUGUGACCGAGAACAAUACCUUGUUUUACCAUAAAAUGCACUUCUCCCAAUUUAAGACUAAGUUCUUCUCGGUACAUCUCUGCAGAACUAGCGUUAGAUGAUGUAAACAUUGAUCAAACGAGUCACCAAAGACAGAAAAAUCAUCCAUAAAGACUUCAAGGAAUCGUUCAACCAUAUCAGAAAAAAUGCUCAACAUGCAUCGUUGGAAUGUAGCAGGUGCAUUACAUAAUCCAAAUGGCAUUCUCCUAUAUGCAAAAGUGCCAAAAGGGCAAGUGAAAGUAGUUUUCUCUUGAUCUUUUGGUGCUAUGGGAAUCUGAUUAUAUCCUGAGUAGCCAUCUAGAAAGCAAUAAAAUUCAUGGCCUGCUAAUCUAUCAAGCAUUUGAUCAAUAAAUGGUAAAGGAAAAUGGUCUUUACGUGUGACAGAAUUCAACUUUCUAUAAUCAAUGCAUACACGCCAUCCUGUAGUUACUCUAGUUGGUAUCAAUUCAUUAUCAGCAUUGGUAACUACUGUGACUCCUGACUUUUUGGGGACAACUUGUACAGGACUGACCCAUGAACUAUCAGAAAUUGGGUAAAUGAUACCUGCGUCUAAUAGCUUAAGGACUUCAGUUCUAACAACUUCUUUCAUAUUAGGAUUUAACCGACGUUGCAUUUCCCUAGUAGAUUUAGCAUUUUCAUCAAGGUGAAUGUAAUGCAUGCAGUCUACUGGGUUUAUACCUUUUAUGUCUGCUAUGGUCCAUCCUAAUGCUCCUUUGUGCUCUUUUAAAACAUCCAACAACUUACCUUUUUGUUCGUCAUUUAGGGAUGAUGAGAUGAUUACCGGCAGAGUACUUUCUUCUCCCAAAAAUGCAUAUUCCAAUGUGUUGGGUAAUGGUUUGAGCUCGAGUUUCGGUGGUGAUUCUGAUGAUGGGAUGAGUUUCUUCUCUGAUGGUGCUAGUUGUUCAACUCUUGACUUCCAUUUAUUAGUGUCCAUGGAUGGUGCUGAGUCAAGUAGGGCGUUGACCUCAUCGACCGAUCUGUCAAUAUCAAAAUCCAAACCAAAGUGAGUUAAACAUGUUUGUAAAGGAUCAUCACUAAGGUUUGAAAGAAAAGUAUUAUCAACUAUUGUUUCUAUUAAAUCCACAUCAACAAUUCCAUCAUCUGCACUGUGAGGUUGUUUGGCAAUGUUGAAAAUGUUUAGCUCCAUAGUCAUGUUGCCGAAGGACAACUGCAUAUUUCCGGUCCUGCAUUGAAUAUGAGCAUCUGCAGUUGCCAAGAAAGGUCGGCCUAGAAUAAUGGGGAUGUGCUUCCUUGAAUCCUGUAUUGGUUGAGUGUCAAUUACAAUGAAAUCAACAGGAAAAUAAAACUUGUCUACCUGGAUAAGCACGUCCUCCACAAUACCACGAGGUAUUUUCGUGGACCGAUCUGCAAGCUGUAACACCACUGGAGUUGGGUGUAAUUCUCCCAGUCCAAGUUUCACGAAUACAGAGUAAGGCAACAAAUUUACACUAGCUCCUAAAUCCAACAAAGCAUUCUCAAUUGUGUGGUUCCCUAUACUACAUGAGAUAGUGGGGGAGCCUGGGUCUUUGCAUUUUAAAGGAAUUUUAUGUUGGAGUAUAGAACUAACGUUUUCUGUUAAAAAUGCCUUCUUUUGAACAUGCAUAUUUCUCUUUUUAGUACAAAGGUCUUUAAGAAACUUGGCAUAAGAUGGAACUUGUUUAAUAGCAUCAAGUAAAGGGAUGUUAACACUUACCUGUUUGAAGAUUUCAAGAAUCUCACCUGUGGAUUUUCCCUUCUUUCCUUUCAGCUAACCUCUGAGGAAAUGGAGCUUUGGGAACGUAUUCUCGUGGGUUGGUUUCUUCUUUCUCCUCCGGUGGUGAGUCCUCAGCAUUUACAGGUACAAUUUGAUUUUCUUUUGUCACCGGCAUCUCCACUUUGUUGUCGACUUCCUUUCCUUUUCGCAAGGUCAUGACUGCUUUGACCUCUCCAUGCUGUUGUGGUGAACUGGUACUUGCUUCAUGUACUCCUUUAGGAUUAGGCACUGGUUGACUUGGAAAUUUGCCUUUCUCAACAGUCAUUGCCAAGGUCUGAACUGAAGAAGCAAGUUGUCCACCAUCUUCUCGAGGCUUGAAACUGAUUGGCUUGUGAGUUGAAGCCUGCUCUCAACUCAUUUCGUAGUCCAUCAAUGGUGCGGUUCUGUUGCUCAAUCGUGGAGUGAGUAACAUUCUUGAAAUUCUGGAAUGAAUCCUCCCAUGGUCUGGGUUGAGAGUAGUUCUGGUUCUGAUUGUAUGGUCUAAAUGGGGCUGAGAGGCUUGAGGAUUUUGAGGAAUUUGUUGCAUUGGUGGAGCUGGAGCUGCUGGUCCAUUCUGUUGGAAUCCUUGAGACCAUGAAAAAUUGGGGUGGUCUCUCCAUCCAGGGUUAUAUGUGUUGGAGUAUGGGUUGUAAUUAGAUGGCUUUCUCAUUACACCUAUGGCAUUGGCUUGAUCGGAUAUGAGUCAUGGUCAUGUGGUUCUGUUGAUUUAGCAGUCGAUAACGAUGCUAUUUGUCGAGCAAGACCUUCAACCAUCUCCUUGACUUCUUUGAUUCCCGAAGUUGACUCGCCAAUUUGAACCUCAUUUACUCCCUUAAUUCUUCUAGUAUUCCUGAGUGAUCGACUCCGUUGUUGGGAAUUAUCCGCUUGUCGCUGGAAGAAUUCCCAAAUCUCUGAUGCACUUUUUGACAUUAGCUCUCCUCCACUUGUUGCCAUUAGCCAUUCUUGCACAUUCGGCAUAAUCCCUCCAAAAAGUAUUGGCAUUGGUGCCAUUUCUCGUACCCAUGAUGUGGACACUUCAAGAGUAGCCCAUUGAAUCGCUCCCAAGUUUCGAAAAACUGCUCGUCUCUCUUUGUGUAAACUCUGAAAUUUCCCUGCGAAUAGAAUUGGUUUUAUGCACUGGGAAAUAUUUAUUUAGAAAUUUUGUAACCAUUUGUUCCCAUGAUGCAAUGCUAUUAGCAGGCAAAGUAUUUAACCAUGAACGAGCUCUAUCCUUUAAAAGAAAAUGGGAAUAAUCUAAGUUUAACAUCAUCGUCUGAAAAAUUUUCAUAUUUAAAAGUUUGACAAAUGGCAUGAAAAUCAUUCAGAUGAUUAUAUGGGUCCUCAUUUUCUAAGCCAUAGAAAUGUGGGAGACAAUUUAGCACACUAGGUUUUUAAGUUCAAAACUCCUAGGCAGCUACAUUUGGGUAUCUUAUGCAUGAUGUGCUCAAAUUAGCUAAAGGGACUAAAAUAGUCCUUAAAUGGCCUCUCCUGUGGUGCUUGUAAAUCCAUUCCAAAUUUAUUUUUAAUGUGCUUUGUGUGUGCGAAGUUGUUUUUUCAAUUCAAGGUCUAUAGGUUCAAGAUUAGGUAAUAAUGACCUACGACCAUGCAUGCAAAAUAAAUAAAAUAAAAAUAAAGAUGGCAAAACAAAAUAAAGAUGGAACAAAUAAAAAAUAAAGAUGAGAAAAACAAAUAAAAAUAAAGAAGAGGGAGAAAUUACGAUACUAACCUUAUUACGCUGUUACAACCUUUCUAUAAAAAUACACAAAAACAAAUACGUGAAAUAAAUUAACUAAAAAUUAAAUUAAUAAAAUAAACAAAAAAUUACAAAGAAGAAAAAAAAUAAAUUGAAAAUUAAAUUACAGAAUUUUAAAAGAAGAGAAAAAGAAAAGAAAUACUAACCUUUAAAUGUAGAUUUACUUUUUUUUUUUUUUUUUUAAUAAAAAAUACAAGAAAACAAAUAAAAGAAAUUAUUCACAAAAAUUAAUUCUAUGAAUUAAAAUUACUUACCUCCCCGGCAACGGCGCCAAAAACUUGUUGUGCAAAUUUUAAUGUACUCGCAAGCGCACGAAUCUAUUGUAGUGUAGAUCAAUGGUGAACGAGUGUCGAUCCCACGAGGAGGUGGAUUUUAAUUGUGUAUAGAAUUAAUUUUGCAAAUGGGUGGUUGGAAUUGUGUGGAAGUGAUUAAUUAUCUAAAAUUGGAAUUGAAAUGCGAUAAUAACUAAAAUUGGAAUUGCAAUGGCAGAGAAUAAAUUGAAGAGAAAUCUAUUGAAAUUGACGUACUUGGGUAUCUGGAUCCGUAUCAACAUGCAUCAUGGGCUAAAUAAUCCGUAUUAAUGCCAAUUAAAUCAUGAGGGGGGAAUCCACACCUCAUGAACCACGCUCUAAUCAAUAUGGUGCUAAGGGCUUAUCGUGCCAAAUAAUAAUAACCUCUAUACUAGAGAGCCGGUGUAACCAAGGCGGUAUCUAGACAAGAUCAGUAUUAUUUGUCGACGAUAAGUCAAAACAUCCACAAAAACUAGAGGGAAAAGAAAAUAAAUUUACCAAAUAAAGCCCAUGACACAUGUUGAGACUUCACCUUCAACCCAAGCUUGAAAGAAAAUUAGCACUCAUAAUUGAACUAGGGGCAAAAUGGGAAUUUAUUAAAAUACAAAGAAAAUACAAGAUGGAGAGGGAAUUACAGAAAAUGGAUCCCAAAAAUGAUUCAGAGAUAUCAAAUUAGGGGGGAGGCCCCCUUUUUAUAGAUACAUGGAGUAAAUUCAUGGCCAUCGGAUUAAAAACAGUUUGACGCUCAGGAUUGCGCCACGUCAUCAGUCAACAGUCCACGCGUUUGACCACGCGGAUGAACAGUAACACGGUUUACCCGAUGAACAGUAACGCGGUUAUGGUUUUGAAAAUAAUCCUGUGUGAUGCAUGCACCGUACGCGAGAUUUUUCGUCCACUGAUAUGCUGCCACGUCACCAUCAACAGUACAUAAGAAUUUUAGCCAACAGGAUCGUGACACCUCAUCAGUCAAUGCCACAUCAUCGGUCAAUGCCACGUCAUCGAUCCGUCUAUGUGAACAGUGUUGUGAACCAGUAACGUAGACAGUACCGUAUACGUGAAUAGUACCGUACAUGUGAAUAAGUGCCAUUUUUCCUUUUAUGCUCCCUCCUAAGGGUUUAUCGACCGUCCUGAGUUCAAAAGUGAUGUCCGUUUUUGCCGUCUGAUCUCUCCUUUAUUGUGAAAUGACUAUAAUGCCCUCUAAAAUACAUAAAAUACUUAAUUAAAAUAAAACACAUGUAAUUAAAUUCAAAAGAAGGUUAAAUACAUAAAAGUAAGGUUGUUAGUAAGAACUUGAAAUGUAAAAUGACGAUUUUCUCCUUUAUAAAAUAUGCAUUUUCUAACACUCAACAGCAGCUACUCCCAAUAGACAAUUCAAGAACAUUUGUGUGCUUUCUGGAUUUACCUAUGGCAAACAUAAAGAGUUUGUUGAGGCAGCCAUAGAGUGGUCGAAGCAUAGCAGCGAGAAAAUUACAUUUGGUGUAUGGAGGAGAGGUAACCGAGGGUUAUCAAAAAUGGUCAGAAGCAGCUUUUAUCAGAGGAAGUCAAGUGUUAGGCAUCAUCCCAAGAGUCUUAAAACCAUUGGGCAGUUCGUCUGACUCAUCCACUGGAGAAGAGUUAGUCGUCUCAGGUAUGCAAGAAAGAAUAACUGAAAUGCUUAAUCAUGCUGAUGCUUUUAUUUUCCUUCCAGGAGAUCUUGCAACACUAGAGGCACUUAUCACACUAGCAUCUUGGGCCCAUCUGUACAUCCACCAGAAACCCAUCGGUUUGUUAAAUGUCAAUAACUUUUAUGAUGGCUUUAUCGCAUUUCUUAACCAUGCAAUAAAAAACUAUUUCAUUCCUUCUAAUGUGAAAAAACUUUUUAUUUGUGCUCACAUUGCUAAUGAGCUGCUUGAUCUAUUACAAGCUUAUAAACCGGAGCCAGACCCCUGGACCCUUGUGUUAGAGUGACCAAAUAAUGAUGGUAACAGUAGCCGCAGUAAAAAGUACAAAUUAGAUUUAACUCUCCGCCUGUAAAUAUUUUCUUCUGUGUUGCACCACCCAGGUGAUGUCUUCUAAACUCUAUUUCUUUCCUUUAAAACAUUGAGGACAAUGUUUCGUUCUGGUUGGGGGGAGGGAAUAGUCGACAAUUGUGGAAUCUUGGUUAAGUUUUUACUAAUUUUUUUUGUAGAAACUAACUGUUGCUAACGUUUUGUGUUGAAGAUGGCUAAAUAUGGAGUGUAGUUACUCUAGAAAUGCAUCUUCAUCGUUUUAAAAAAAAAAAACCCGUUUUCUUCCUCUUUCUCCUUUAUAAAUAUAUAUUUUUCAAAUUUUUGAGUUGAAGAUGGCUGAAUAUGGAGUGUAGUGCCUCUAGAAACACAUCUUCUUAGUUAAAAAAAAAAUUUAUUUUUCUAAUUAAUUUUUCUACAUCAUUUUCACAUUUCUGCAUGCAUAUUUUCCUUUCAUGUUUAGAAUAGGUUGGGGGGUAGAAUGUUGUUUAAAAAAAAAAUUGUGUUAUUUUUGUUUUAACAUUUGAUGACAUGAUUAAUUUCAAAUUUUAGUAUUUGUAUUAUCUUUGGUCUUAAGUGAUGUUACGCUAUGUUUGCUACUUUACAUGUUGAUGUCGGAGACAAAUAUGAGUUGCUUGAAGGAAUGAACAUGUCAUAAAUAAGUGCCAAGUGAGUUGUUGAGCCUAUCAUUUUCUUGAAGACUAACCAUUUUGCCCAUUCUCUAUACAGCUUAGCAGUUUAUUAUUUUAUACACGAUCUUUAGAUUUCUUUUGAGUUAACCCUUAAAAAAAAUGGUAAAAUUAGAAAAAAAAAAAAAUGUGUGUUGCUACAUUGGGAGACCCGUCUAACUAGUAGAUACGGAUGAUUAUUUAGAGCCCUAAAAUAUGAUGGAAAGGUCAUCUUUGAUCCGUUUGAGCCUUUCUAGCCAUCCCUUUUAUUAAAUAUCCAUAGUUAACCCUUUUGAGCCUUUAAAAAAAAAAAAAAAAACCUUUUCUUUGUCAACUUAUCAUCUUGACCCACUCCGAUUUAGAGUAUUACCCGAUGUCUUAUAAGUUCCAUCACCUAUUUAUGUUUGAGAAAAUGUAAAUAAUUAUGUUGUUCAGUGAGGUUAUGCCAAAUAAAAGCAACAAAAAAAAAAACAAACAAAAGUUGUUGUUUCAAAAGAAUAAAAAUAACAAUAAUAGGUGAAAUCCACCUUACAAAUUCCAAAAAAAAAAACAAAUUCUCUGUAUUUUUCUUAAACAUACACUUUGUUUCCUUAUUUCCUUUCUUUGUUAGCCAUGUCCCUAGCCUACGUUACGUCCUAAUAAAAGUCCUUCUUGAUUUUAGGGAACUAUAGUUUGAAGUAAAAGCUAGUUAUAUGGGCUAAAAAGAUAUAGUGAUGCAUAAUAAUAAAAGAAAAAGAGAUAAAUAAAAUGGGUUGACUAGCAUUUUUGUUUGACUUGAGAUCGUAUUAUUUCUAAGCUGAGGGCAUAUUUCUUUCAUCUUGGUGAGAGCAUGUGAUAUCACUUCUUUAUUAUUUUCUCUCAAUUACCAUUCAUUAGAGUGACUAUUUUUAUUGGGUUUAAUUUCUUUGUGAGAGUAUCACUACUUCCAGUGAGAUUUUGGGGUUUGACAUGUCAUUCUUGAAAGUAGCUAUAACAAAGUCUAUUGGGUUGAUCAUGUGGAUGGUUGAUGUGGGUGUGAUGUUUCUUUAGACUGGAGAUAAUGCUUAUACUUUUAUUUGAUUGCUAUCAUUAAUCUGAUUGAAUAAACACGAGUGUUUCUAUUAAAAAAAAAAUCAUUUUGGAUUUGAAUUUCGUUUUCGCUUUAUUUGCUAGGGACUAGCAAUAAGCUGGUUGGGGGGUGUGUUGAGUGUUAGAAAAUGUAUAUUUAUAAAGGAGAAAAUCAUCAUUUUACAUUUCAAGUUUUACUAACAACCCUUACUUUUAUGUAUUUAAGCUUCUUGCAAUUUAAUUAUGUGUGUUUGAUUUUAAUUAAGUAUUUUAUGUAUUUUAGGGGCAUCAUGGUCAUUUCAUAAUAAACGAGAGAUCAGAUGGCAAAAUGGACAUCACUUUUGAACUUAGGAUGGUCGAAAACCUUAGGAGGAGCAUAAAAGGAAAAAUGACACUAUUCACAUGUACGGUACUAUUCACGUGUACGGUACUGUCUAUGUUACUGUUCAUGACACUGUUCACAUAGACGGAUCGAUGAUGUGGCAUUGACCGAUGAGGUGUCACGAUCCUAUUGGGCUAAAAUUCUUAUGUACUGUUGAUGGUGACGUGGGAGCAUAUCAGUGGACGAAAAUCUCGCGUACGGUACAUGCAUCACACAGGAUUAUUUUCAACCAAACCGUGUCACUGUUCACCCGGGUCAAACCGUUAUGUUCAUCCAUGUGGUCAAACCACGUACUAUUGACUGAUGACGUGGCGCAAUCCUGAGCGUCCAAACUGUUUUUAAUCCGAUGGCCAUGAUUUACUUCAUGUAUCUACAAAAAGGGGGCUUUCCCCCCCCCCUAAUUUGAUAUCUCUGAAUCCAUUUUUGGACUCCAUUUUCUGUAAUUCCUUCUCCAUCUUGUUUUCUACGUAUUUUAAUAAAUUCCCAUUUUGCCCCUAGUUCAAUUAUGAGUAGCUAAUUUUCUUUCAAGCUUGGGUUGAAGGUGAAGUCUCAACAUGUGUCAUGAGCUUUAUUUGGUAAAUUUACUUUCUAUUCCCCUCUAAUUUUUGUGGAUGUUUUGACUUCUCGUCGACAAAUAAUACUAAUCUUGUCUAGUACCACCUUGGUUUCACCAGCCCCCUAGUACAAGGUUAUUAUUAUUUGGCACGAUAAGCCCUUAGCACCAUAUUGAUUAGAGUGUGGUUCAUGAGGUGUGGAUUCCCCCCUCAUGAUUUAAUUGGUAUUAAUAAGGAAUAUUUAGCCCAUAGUGCAUGUUGAUACGGAUCCAGAUACCCAAGUACGUCAUUUCAAUAGAAUUCUCUUUAAUUUAUUCUCGCCAUUUCAAUUCCAAUUUUAGAAUUUAUUCUCGCCAUUUUAAUUUAAGUUUUAGCAUAUUCCAAAUCAUUUCCACCACAAAUCCAAUCACCCAUUUACAAAAUUAAUUCUACACACAAUUAAAAUCCACCUCCUCGUGGAUCGACACUCGUCACCAUUGAUCUAUACUACAAUAGAUUCGUGCGCUUGCGAGUACACUAAAAUUUGCACAACAACUUUCAUUCGUUGCUUGUAAAUCUUGGCAUUUUCCUAUGCAUCAUUGCGAAUUUUUUCAAGUUCUGCCAGUUGUAAUCUUCUUUCUGAGCUAGCUUGCUGCAUGUCAAAGUUGAAUUUCUUGAUGGCCCAAUAUGCACGAUGCUCGAGUUCCACAGGUAGGUGGCAAACUUUUCCAUAAACUAGGCUGUAGGGUGACAUCCCAAUCGGGGUCUUGAAAGUCGUUCUAUGCCCAUAAUGCAUCAUCAAGUCUUAAUGACCAAUUUUUUUUGUCUGGUCUCACCGUCUUUUCUAAUAUGUGCUUUAUUUCUCGAUUGAAGAUCUCAACUUGGCCACUGGUUUGCGGAUGAUAUGGGGUCGCCACUUUGUGAGUGAUUGAAUACUUCAUCAAAAGAGCUUUGAAUGCUUUGUUACAAAAGUGGGCACCACCAUCACUGAUUAUCGCUCGAGGACAUCCAAAGCGUGAAACAAUGUUUUUUUCAAAAAUCCUAUCACCACAUUGUGAUCAUUGGUUCUACAUGGAAUUGCUUCUACCCAUUUUGAUACGUAGUCAACAGCAACCAAUAUGUAUUGAUGGCCAAAAGAAGGGGGAAAGGGUCCCAUGAAGUCGAUACCCCAUACGUCAAAAAUCUCGACCACUAAAAUUGGAUUUAGUGGCAUCAUGUUCCUUCGUGUAAUGCUCCCCAUUCGUUGACACCUAUCACAUGAAGAACAGAAAUUGUAAGCGUCUCGAAAUAUAGUUGGCCAAUAGAAACCACAUUGUAAAACUUUAGUUGCUGUUUUCUUAGCGCUGAAAUGGCCUCCACAAGCUUGUUCAUGGCAGAAUGAAAGGAUAUUUUGAAUUUCACUUUCUGGGACACAUCGUCUAACAAUUUGAUCUGCACAAUACUUGAACAAAUACGGGUCAUCCCAAAGAAAUUCUUUAUUUCUGCAAAGAAUUUAGCCUUGUCUUGCUUGGUCCAAUGCUCUGGAAGUUUACCUGUAACAAGAUAAUUAACUAUAUCAGCAUACCACCGUAAUACUUCCACAAUCAUUAAUUGUUCAUCUGGAAAUGACUCAUUCAAUGUUAAUGGCUCUGUAAUUGUGUCAAAAUGGAGACGAGAGAGAUGGUCUGCCACAACAUUUUCUGUGCCUUCUUAUCUUUUGAAUUCCAAGUCAAAUUCCGCAAAAGUAACACCCAACGAAUUAGUCUAGCUUUUGCAUCUUUCUUUGUGAGAAGAUAUUUAAGAGCAGUAUGAUCUGUGAAUAUAAUUAUUUUACACCCAAUGAGAUAAGAUCGAAAAUUUUCCAAUGCAAACACUACUGCUGGCAUUUCUUUUCAGCAGUUGAAUAGUUCAAUUGUGCAUCAUUCAAUGUCAUACUAGCAUAGUAAAUAACAUGGGGAAUUCGAUCAACUCUUUGUCCUAAUACUGCUCCUACUGCAUAAUCAGAUGCAUCACACAUGAGUACAAAUGGUAAGCUCCAGUUUUGGGGCUGAAUGAUGGGUGAUGAUGUCAACAACUGCUUUAAUUUUUCAAACGCCACAAGACAUGAAUCAUUAAAGAUAAAAGGUACAUCCUUAGCAAGUAAAUUGCAUAAGGGUCUAGAAACUUGCUAAAAUCUUUAAUGAAACAUCUAUAAAAACCAGCAUGCCCAAGGAAAGAUCUUACUUCUCUGACUGUUUUGGGUGGAGGAAGAUUAGAAAUGAGAUCCACUUUGGCUUUGUCAACCUCAAUACCUUUGCUCGAAAUGAUGUGACCGAGAACAAUACCUUGUUUUACCAUAAAAUGACACUUCUCCCAAUUUAAGACUAAGUUCUUCUCGAUACAUCUCUGUAGAACUAUUGUUAGAUGAUGUAAACAUUGAUCAAACGAGUCACCAAAGACAGAAAAAUCAUCCAUAAAGACUUCAAGGAAUCGUUCAACCAUAUCAGAAAAAAUGUUCAACAUGCAUCGUUGAAAUGUAGCAGGUGCAUUACAUAAUCCAAAUGGCAUUCUCCUAUAUGCAAAUGGGCCAAAAGGACAAGUGAAAGUGGUUUUCUCUUGAUCUUUUUGGUGCUAUGGGAAUCUGAUUAUAUCCUGAGUAGCCAUCUAGAAAGCAAUAAAAUUCAUGGCCUGCUAAUCUAUCAAGCAUUUGAUCAAUAAAUGGUAAAGGAAAAUGGUCUUUACNNNNNNNNNNNNNNNNNNNNNNNNNNNNNNNNNNNNNNNNNNNNNNNNNNNNNNNNNNNNNNNNNNNNNNNNNNNNNNNNNNNNNNNNNNNNNNNNNNNNNNNNNNNNNNNNNNNNNNNNNNNNNNNNNNNNNNNNNNNNNNNNNNNNNNNNNNNNNNNNNNNNNNNNNNNNNNNNNNNNNNNNNNNNNNNNNNNNNNNNNNNNNNNNNNNNNNNNNNNNNNNNNNNNNNNNNNNNNNNNNNNNNNNNNNNNNNNNNNNNNNNNNNNNNNNNNNNNNNNNNNNNNNNNNNNNNNNNNNNNNNNNNNNNNNNNNNNNNNNNNNNNNNNNNNNNNNNNNNNNNNNNNNNNNNNNNNNNNNNNNNNNNNNNNNNNNNNNNNNNNNNNNNNNNNNNNNNNNNNNNNNNNNNNNNNNNNNNNNNNNNNNNNNNNNNNNNNNNNNNNNNNNNNNNNNNNNNNNNNNNNNNNNNNNNNNNNNNNNNNNNNNNNNNNNNNNNNNNNNNNNNNNNNNNNNNNNNNNNNNNNNNNNNNNNNNNNNNNNNNNNNNNNNNNNNNNNNNNNNNNNNNNNNNNNNNNNNNNNNNNNNNNNNNNNNNNNNNNNNNNNNNNNNNNNNNNNNNNNNNNNNNNNNNNNNNNNNNNNNNNNNNNNNNNNNNNNNNNNNNNNNNNNNNNNNNNNNNNNNNNNNNNNNNNNNNNNNNNNNNNNNNNNNNNNNNNNNNNNNNNNNNNNNNNNNNNNNNNNNNNNNNNNNNNNNNNNNNNNNNNNNNNNNNNNNNNNNNNNNNNNNNNNNNNNNNNNNNNNNNNNNNNNNNNNNNNNNNNNNNNNNNNNNNNNNNNNNNNNNNNNNNNNNNNNNNNNNNNNNNNNNNNNNNNNNNNNNNNNNNNNNNNNNNNNNNNNNNNNNNNNNNNNNNNNNNNNNNNNNNNNNNNNNNNNNNNNNNNNNNNNNNNNNNNNNNNNNNNNNNNNNNNNNNNNNNNNNNNNNNNNNNNNNNNNNNNNNNNNNNNNNNNNNNNNNNNNNNNNNNNNNNNNNNNNNNNNNNNNNNNNNNNNNNNNNNNNNNNNNNNNNNNNNNNNNNNNNNNNNNNNNNNNNNNNNNNNNNNNNNNNNNNNNNNNNNNNNNNNNNNNNNNNNNNNNNNNNNNNNNNNNNNNNNNNNNNNNNNNNNNNNNNNNNNAUUUCAACGACUUGUCUACCUUGGGAUGUUAAUCCAUCGUAGAAAUAAGACACUAAUCUCCAUGUUUCAAAAUCGUGAUGUGGGCAAAUGUUAAGUAGUUCUUUAAACCUAUCUCAAUAUUGGUAGAGGGUUUCUCUUGAUUUUUGAGUGAAAGUGGUGAUUUGUCUUUUGAAAGAAUUUGUUCUGUGGGGUGGGAAGAAUUUUUUCAAAAAUUGUGCUUGCAUUUCAUCCCAAGUUCUGAUGGAUUCUGACAUAAGAUUUUGUAGCCAAAUUUUAGCUUUAUCCUUAAGUGAGAAAGGAAAAAACUUAAGCCUGAUUAUAUUUAUGCUACAAUUUUGAUCAGUACAUGUGUUACAGACUUCCUCAAAUUCCCUUAAAUGCAAAUAUGGAUUUUCAUACUCAAAACCAUGAAAAGUAUGAAGAAUUUGAAUGAUACCAUGUUUGAAAUUAAAACGUGAUGCAUCAGAAGGGAAAACUAUGCAUGAUGGUGACCCUGUUCUAGUAGGAUGCAUGAAGUCUCUAAGGGUCCUAGGUUGUUCAUGAAGAUUUUGCAAGGCUUGGUCAUUUUCGUGCUUCACAAAAUUUUCAGCUCUUAUGUCAGCCAUAUUUAAGGGUGGUGAAGGUGAUUUUCUAAUUAAUCUACCACUAUUUGUACGAGACCAACGACGCAUGCAAUGCUAAUGAUGUGCGCUAAACUAAUGAUGCAAAAAUGCUAAAUGAAAAUUGCAAAAUAAAAAAUAAAUUGGAAAUUAAAUAAGCAAAAAAAUACGAAAUAAAAAUAAACAAACUGAAAAAUAAAUAAAUUAAGUGGUGAAACCAGCCAUUAAAGAAACAGUUUAGGCGUAUUUUAAAACUAGCCAUAUAAUAAAACAUAAAAUUAAAUAAAUUAAUGCACAAAAAUAAAUAAACUGAAUUAAAAUGUAGCGGUAGAACCGACCAUAUAAAUAAAAAUACAUAAAUUAACAAAAUUUAAAUAACAGUUAGGCAGUAGAACAGACCAUUUAAAAUAAAUGCGAAAAGUAAAUUGAAGAAAUUUAAAGAAAUUAAUUUGAUUUGGGGACUAAUUUGCAAGGGUUUUUGGGUUAAGAUAAAGUUUCUCACAAUGUUAUGGAUAAUGUUAAGGUUUGAAAAGAAGAGGGGUGCUAACUGAAGUUUUACAAAAGAGAAUAAAAUAGAAUCACGAAAAGAUGGUAACGACAAAACAAAAAAAAUUAAAAUAAAUUAAAAUAAAGUAAAGACAAACUAAUACCAAAAAUUAGAAAAUUUUCCGGCAACGGCGUCAAAAACUUGACACGACUCAAAAGUGUAUUACUCUCAAGUAUAAGAGUGUCUAGUUAUAUAUAACCCAGUGAGACCAGAGUCGAAGCACAGGGAGUUUUAAAUCUAGUAAAACUAAGAUAAUUAAUUGUGGGGGAAAAAAAUUAUUUGAAAUCAAUUUAAAAAUAAGCUAAGGUUUAGGAUCCACUCUCUAUAUUCAAACUAUAAUUUUAAUACUCUCUCAUUUAUAUUUUGACUCACUUUUACCAAGUAAUUAUUAUAUCAUUUAAUUCUAUAUGUGUGGAUAAAUAUAGAAUAAAGUACCUAAUGUGCCACAUUUUAUUAAUGUGUCGACAUUAUGUGAAAAUACCAUAAAUACCAUAAAUACCAGUGAGAUUUAUAAAUUAACAUGAUAUAAAAAUAAUUAGAAAAGAAUUAAAUAACUUAAAAACUCAUUUUGAGAAAAUAAUAAUAAUUAAUAAUUUGAAACAUUGAGCUUCACCAUACACCUCAGCUUAAUAAAAUUAGCUACUCAUAUUGAAAGAAAACACAAUAUUCUUUUUAUUUGAUAAACUUUUUUGAAAUAUAUUACAAAGAAAAUUGAUACAAACGGAAACAAGAAAAGAAAAGAAACAAAGAUAGAAAUUCUUCAGUCUCAGCUUCAGCUCUCAAAAUAACUCUCCCUCUUCUGGCCUGCAUCCCCUUGCCUUUUAUAGGCAAGGGAAUCGUCUUCUUUUAUUUUAUUUUAUUUUAUUAAUAUUAAUAUUUUAUUUUAUUAUUAUAUAUAUAUAUAUAUAAUUGUGUGAUGGUUAGGAGGCGUGAUGGCCUCCUGACCAUCACCAACAUGUUUUGUUCUUUUAUUUUUUUUUUUUAUUUUAUUUAUUAUUAUAUCUCUUCAAUUUUGUUCUAAUAGUUCUUCUUUGUUCCCGCUUUCAAUUCCAAUUCCAUCUUUAUUCCUAAAAAAUAUUUACAAGAUAAAAAUUAACGAAUUACGAAUUAAUUUAACAUAAAAUAUAUUUGGGGAGUAUUAAAAUAAUUUAGAAAUAAUGAAUGCAUUAAUCGACACAAUAAGUGAAAAAAACUAAUAAUUUUAUCCUUAUUAAAUGUACACUUUUUAGUGUCAAUCAAUACUUCUUACUGCGGCUACUAUUACCAUCAUUAUUUGGACGCUCCAACACAAAGGUCCAGGGGUCUGGCUCCAGUAUAUAAGCUUGUAACAGAUCAAGUAGCUCUAUUACCAGUGUGAGCAUAAAUAAAAAGCUUUUUCGCUGUGGAAUGAAUGAAAUAGUUUUUAUUGCAUGGUUAAGAAAUACGAUGAAGCCAGCAUAAAAGUUAUUGACAUUUAACAAACCGAUGAGUUUCUAGUGAAUGUGCAGAUGGGCCUAAGAUGCUAGUGUGACAAGUGCCUCUGGUGUUGCAAGAUCUCCUGGAAGGAAAAUAAAAGCAUCAGCAUGAUUAAGUAUUUCAGUUAUUCUUUCUUGCAUACCUGAGACGACUAACUCUUUUCCAGUCGGUGAGUCAGACAAAUUGCCCAAAGAUUUUAGAGCUCUUGGGAUGAUGCCUAACACUUGACUUUCUCUGACAAAAGCAACUUUUGAGACCAAUUUUGAUAACCCUCGGUUACCUCCUCCAUACACCAAGUGUAAUUUUCUCUCUGCUAUACUUCGACAAGAACUAUGGCUGCCUCAACGAACUCUUUAUGUUUGCCAUAGUUAAAUUCAGAAAGCACACAAAUGUUCUUGAAUUGUCUAUGGGGAGUAGCUGUCAUUGUGAUACUGUUGUGAAAAUUUUAAUAUACUCGCAAGCGCACAAAUCUAGAAAUAGAAUAGUGGUAACGAGAGGUCGAUCCCACAGGGAUUGUUAUAAAUUGAAAAGUCUAAUUUAAAUCUAAAAUUAAUAUUAAUUCUAACCUAGUUGACCAAAUUGAGUUUCUAAGAAAAUUAAACCAAUUAAACUAAGGAAACAAUUAAAAUAAAGGAGAAUUCAAUAAGAUAAGAAUUACCAAGUCUUUAGAAUCCACCACUAUUCAACUAGUAAUUAUCUAAUUAUUAAUUAAUCCCCAAUUUACAGUGACAACUCGAAAUCAAUCUAUGUCAUCUCAUGGAUAUAACAAUUAAGCCCAAAUAAAAUUAAUCUUGUGUAGGUUCUUUUUCUGCUUAAUAAUAUGACAUCUAAGAAUCUCAUGUAAACAUAUUGAAUAACAAAGAGUCAAAGUUUCAUAAGCACUCCAUGUAAGCAAUUUAAUGAAAGACAUAGAAUCAAAGAUAAUCAUGUAUAAACUUUAUAAAUCUAAGCAUAGAUUUAAUCGAAUAUUAAUCCUGCCAAUCAAUAAUACAUGACAGAAUUGAUGAAAAGAUUUUAUUAACAUCCAAUUAAUCAUGUGAAAUAAAAACCAUAAUCAUCAAAGAACAUAUAUAGAGAAUUAAUUAAAUAAAAAGAUAAUUAUUUCAUUGAAUAGGUUUCAUCCUUAACCUCAGUACAAGAAAAUUAGUUAGACAUACUUGAAGUGGGAGCAACAAAAUAAAUAAAACCAACCAUGGAAAGCCGAAGCGCUGCUGCCGCUACCCUCUAUUCUCUCUGUCUCGCGUCCUCCCUUUUGUUUCCGUCCUCUGGCGGCUACCUCAUUCAAAAGCCAAAACUCUCUUUUUAUAAUGCUUAGCCACCGAAUCCUCUUUGUCUACUAAUUAAAAUCCUUUUCCAAUUAUAAAACAAAGCUUCCAUAAUAACGCCACCAUAAGCCAUUAAUUCCACUUUUGAAAGUCAAGUGUGGCCCUAUUUAAAUUGCUUUCCACUUUUGCAAUGCCAUGCACGUGCAACUCAAUUGGAGAAUUGAAAUUCAAUGCAAAUUGCUCUUAGCUCUUAACUCUGUCACGACUUUAACUAAUAUUCUCCCAAAUUGUUAUUCUUUUUGUACUUUUUUAUUUCCAAUCUCCAAUUAAUUCCCUAUGCAAUAAAAUAAUUCAAUUAAUUAAAAAUAAAAAUAAAAAUAACUAGUAAUUAGAUAAUAAACGGUAAAAUAUGUAUAUAAAUUAUGCUCAUCAGAUACUUCUCAAAAAUAAUUUGUGAGUGCUUGACAAAAAAUCAUAUAUUUAAGAAUCUUGGUGACAGUGGGUCACAACUGUGUUUGAGGUAGCAUUUCAGUGUCAAAUAACGCGUAAAGCACAUGGCUCACGAGUCAAAAAAAAAUAGUAAAAAGAAAAAAGUAAACAGUAUAGAAUAAAAUUAUUAAAGACAAUAAUGCAAAUAAUAAAAUAAUAGUGAAAUAAAACAUCAGUAAAGUAAAAGGAUAUUUACAUGUAGUUACGGUUGUGGCUCACAUCUUCCUCUGGUUUUACGUCCAGAAACAGCUUGAACGCCCUCUAUGGGUCGAGAAUAGGCUUCCCAUCCAGGUUUCUUAUAAACUGGCAAACAUGGUUGUUUAUAGUCAGAUUCUCGAGACUAUAUCGUUCAUGCUCUUUCUGGAAUAAUGGCCAUAACUAGAGAAUCGCUCCUUGCACAUAUCCACUGGGAUGCGUUUCAAGAGACAAAAGGAUAUCAUCCAAUGACUCCUUAUUCAAGCCAUCCCUAAUGAAUUGAAUCUUAUCUUCCCUGUUAUCAGACACCAUUCCUAAAGAACAUGGGUUUUUAUUGCAUCUCAUUCUGACACAUUUAUGACAAGCAACAUAAAUUCUUCGAGCUCUUUGUUUUCUUGCAUAAUUUCUUUUACCACAACCAAGCAUGUAUGCAAUAAAUUUUGGAGGUAACUCACCUGCCAAUCGUACUUUAGCCUCAAUUAACCAACGGAUGUCCGUAGGUAUGUUAUUACUCAUGAGCAAUCGCAUGCGUUCGGACCGGGCUUUAUAGAUGUAAGGAGGGCAUUUCUGAGGAAGUGAAGGGAAUCGCUUGUGAAGCUUCGCUAGAAUCUCGUUUCUGUCCAUACUUUCGCCUCAGAAUGUCAGUUAUUAUGGGAAAUUGAAGUAACCGACUUGAUUGUCACGGAGUACCGUUAUCCGCCACUUCACCGGUGUAACAAACUAAAGCACACAAACAGAAAAACAAAUUAAAACACACAAAGAAAAUUAAAUCGUCCUCUUAUUGAAUUUUACCUCAAGCUCUAACUGGAUGUCGUAAACACUUCUCUCAAUUCUCGGAGUUGGCUUUCUAGAUUCUCAACAUAGGCUACUAACUCUGGUGGUUGUAGAGCCCAAAUGCGUUGUGUUUUACAAAAUUGAAAUCUGCCUUUUGAGAUGAGUUUUGACACGUUGAAGUGGUUUAAGAAUGUUCAGGAGGAACGGUCUAAGUAUGGUACUCAUGAUUAAAAAUGAUAAGAGAAAACUUAAUAGUUAAACAAACACACUUAUGCAAAAAUAAUUUCAAUUAGCAAAAGAAUAAUAAAAAGAAAGAAAAAAAAUCAAAUCAACGAAAAGAAAAAAAAUCAAUUCAAAUCUAGUGGGUCACUCAAAUUUAUUUCAGUGUCUUCUCCAUGUGGUUGGUAUUCUAGAUAUGGCUUUAAUCUUUGACCAUUAACUUUAAAUGUGACACCGUUCUUUAGGUCCUUAAUUUCAAUUGCCCAUGUGGAAAAACAGUAUGAACAAUAAAGGGACCAGACCAUCGAGAGCAUAACUUACUUGGGAAUAGGUGCAAGCGAGAAUUGAAUAAAAGCACUUUUCUGACCUGGAGUGAAAGAUUUUCUCAUAAUGUGCUUGUCAUGAAAGACUUUCAUUCGUUGCUUGUAAAUUUUGGCAUUUUCGUAUGCAUCAUUGCGAAUUUCUUCAAGUUCUGCCAGUUGUAAUCUUCUUUCUAAGCUGGCUUGCUGCAUGUCAAAGUUGAAUUUCUUGAUGGCCCAAAAUGCACGAUGCUCGAGUUCCACAGGUAGUUGACAAGCUUUUCCAUACACUAGCCUACAGGGUGACAUUCCAAUCGGGGUCUUGAAAGCCGUUCUAUAUGCCCAUAAUGCAUCAUCAAGUCUUAAUGACCAAUCUUUUCUGUUUGGCCUCACCGUCUUUUCUAAUAUGUGCUUUAUUUCUCGAUUGGAGAUCUCAACUUGGCUACUGGUUUGCAGAUUAUAUGGGGUCGCCACUUUGUGAGUGAUUGAAUACUUUGUCAAAGAGCUUUGAAUGCUUUGUUACAAAAGUGGGCACCACCAUCACUGAUUAUCGCUCGAGGGAAUCCAAAGCGUGAAACAAUGUUGCUUUUCAAAAAUCCUAUCACCACCUUAUGAUCAUUGGUUCUACAUGGAAUUGCUUCUACCCAUUUCGAUACGUAGUCAACAGCAACCAAUAUGUAUUGAUGGCCAAAAGAAGAGGGAAAGGGUCCCAUGAAGUCGAUACCCCAUACGUCAAAAAUCUCAACCACUAAAAUUGGAUUUAGUGGCAUCAUGUUCCUUCGUGUAAUGCUCCCCAUUCGUUGACACCUAUCACAUGAAGAACAGAAAGUGUAAGCGUCUCGAAAUAUAGUUGGCCAAUAGAAACCACAUUGUAAAACUUUUGUAGCUAUUUUCUUAGCACUGAAAUGGCCUCCACACGCUUGUUCAUGGCAGAAUGAAAGGAUAUUUUGAAUUUCACUUUCUGGGACACAUCGCCUAACAAUUUGAUCUGUACAAUACUUGAACAAAUACGGGUCAUCCCAAAAGAAAUUCUUUAUUUCCGCAAAGAAUUUAGCCUUGUCUUGCUUGGUCCAAUGCUCUGGAAGUUUACCUGUAACAAGAUAAUUAACUAUAUCAGCAUACCAAGGUAAUACUUCCACAUUCAUUAAUUGUUCAUCUGGAAAUGACUCAUUUAAUGGUAAUGGUUCCAUAAUUGUGUCAAAAUGGAGGCGAGAGAGAUGGUUUGCCACAACAUUUUCUGUGCCUUUCUUAUCUUUAAAUUCCAAGUCAAAUUCCUGCAAAAGUAACACCUAACGAAUUAGUCUAGCUUUUGCAUCUUUCUUUGUGAGAAGAUAUUUAAGAGCAGCAUGAUCUGUGAAUAUAAUUAUUUUACAACCAAUGAGAUAAGAUCGAAAUUUUUCCAAUGCAAACACUACUACUAGCAUUUCUUUUUCAGUAGUUGAAUAGUUCAACUGUGCAUCAUUCAAUGUCAUACUAGCAUAGUAAAUAACAUGAGGAAUUCGAUCAACUCUUUGUCCUAAAACUGCUCCUACUGCAUAAUCAGAUGCAUCACACAUUAGCUCAAAUGGUAAGCUCCAGUUUGGGGCCUGAAUGAUGGGUGAUGAUGUCAAUAACUGCUUUAAUUUUUCAAACGCCACAAGACAUGAAUCAUUAAAGAUAAAAGGUACAUCCUUAGCAAGUAAAUUGCAUAAGGGUCUAGAAACUUUGCUAAAAUCUUUAAUGAAACGUCUAUAGAAACCAGCAUGUCCAAGGAAAGAACUUACUUCUCUGACUGUUUUGGGUGAAGGAAGAUUAGAAAUGAGAUCCACCUUGGCUUUGUCAACCUCAAUACCUUUGCUCGAAAUGAUGUGACCGAGAACAAUACCUUAUUUUACCAUGAAAUGACAUUUCUCCCAAUUUAAGAGUAAGUUCUUCUCGAUACAUCUCUGCAGAACUAGUGUUAGAUGAUAUAAACAUUGAUCAAACGAGUCACCAAAGACAGAAAAAUCAUCCAUAAAGACUUCAAGGAAUCGUUCAACCAUAUCAGAAAAAAUGUUCAACAUGCAUCGUUGAAAUGUAGCAGGUGCAUUACAUAAUCCAAAUGGCAUUCUCCUAUAUGCAAAUGUGCCAAAAGGGCAAGUGAAAGUAGUUUUCUCUUGAUCUUUUGGUGCUAUGGGAAUCUGAUUAUAUCCUGAGUAGCCAUCUAGAAAGCAAUAAAAUUCAUGGCCUGCCAAUCUAUCAAGCAUUUGAUCGAUAAAUGGUAAAGGAAAAUGGUCUUUACGUGUGACAGAAUUCAACUUUCUAUAAUCAAUGCAUACACGCCAUCCUGUAGUCACUCUAGUGGGUAUCAAUUCAUUAUCAGCAUUCGUAACUACUGUGACUCCUGACUUUUUGGGGACAACUUGUACAUGACUAACCCAUGAACUAUCAGAAAUUGGGUAAAUGAUACCUGCGUCUAAUAGCUUAAGGACUUCAGUUCUAACAACUUCUUUCAUAUUAGGAUUUAACCGACGUUGCAUUUCCCUAGUAGAUUUAGCAUUUUCAUCAAGGUGAAUGUAAUGCAUGCAGUCUACUGGGUUUAUACCUUUUAUGUCCGCUAUGGUCCAUCCUAAUGCUCCUUUAUUCUCUUUUAAAAUAUCCAAGAACUUACCUUUUUGUUCAUCGUUGAGGGAUGAUGAGAUGAUUACCGGUAGAGUGCUUUCUUCUCCCAAAAACGCAUAUUCCAAAGUGUUGGGCAAUGGUUUGAGCUCGAGUUUCAGUGGUGAUUCUGAUGAUGGGAUGAGUUUCUUCUCUGAUGGUGCUAGUUGUUCAACUCUUGACUUCCAUUUAUUAGUGUCCAUGGAUGGUGCUGAGUCAAGUAGAGCGUUGACCUCAUCGACCGAUAUGUCAAUAUCAAAAUUCAAACCAAAGUGAGUUAAACAUGUUUGUAAAGGAUCAUCACUAAGGUUUGAAAGAAAAGUAUUAUCAACUAUUGUUUCUAUUAAAUCCACAUCAACAAUUCCAUCAUCUGCACUGUGAGGUUGUUUGGCAAUGUUGAAAAUAUUUAGCUCCAUAGUCAUGUUGCCGAAGGACAACUGUAUAUUUCCGGGCCUGCAUUGAAUAUGAGCAUCCGCAGUUGCCAAGAAAGGUCGGCCUAGGAUAAUGGGGAUGUGCUUCCUUGAAUUCUGUAUUGGUUGAGUGUCAAUUACAAUGAAAUCAACAGGAAAAUAAAACUUGUCUACCUGGAUAAGCACGUCCUCCACAAUACCACGAGGUAUUUUCGUGGACCGAUUUGCAAGCUGUAACACCACUGGAGUUGGGUGUAAUUCUCCAAGUCUAAGUUUCAAAAAUACUGAGUAAGGCAACAGAUUUACACUAGCUCCUAAAUCCAAUAAAGCAUUCUCAAUUGUGUGGUUCCCUAUACUACAUGAAAUAGUGGGGGAGCCUGGGUCUUUGCAUUUUAGAGGAAUUUUAUGUUGGAGUAUAGAACUAACAUUUUCUGUUAAAAAUGCCUUCUUUUGAACAUGAAUGUUUCUCUUUUUAGUACAAAGGUCUUUAAGAAACUUGGCAUAAGAUGGAACUUGUUUAAUAGCAUCAAGCAAAGGGAUGUUAACACUUACCUGUUUGAAGAUUUCAAGAAUCUCACCUGUGGAUUUUCCCUUUUUUCCUUUAGCUAACCUCUGAGGAAAUGGAGCCUUAGGAACAUAUUCUCGUGGGUUGGUUUCUUCUUUCCCCUCCGGUGAUGAGUCUUCAACAUUCACAGGUACAAUUUGAUUUUCUUUUGUCACCGGCAUCUCCACUUUGUUGUCGACUUCUUUUCCUUUUCGCAAGGUCAUGAUUGCUUUGACCUCUCCAUGCUGUUGUGGUGAACUGGUACUUGCUUCAUGUACUCCUUUAGGAUUAGGCACUGGUUGACUUGGAAAUUUACCUUUCUCAACAGUCAUUACCAAGGUCUGAACUGAAGAAGCAAGUUGUCCGACCAUCUUCUCGAGGCUUGAAACUGAUUGAGCUUGUGAGUUGAAGCUUGUUCUCAACUCAUUUCGUAGUCCAUCAAUGGUGCGAUUCUGUUGCUCAAUCGUGGAGUGAGUAACAUUCUUGAAAUUCUGAAAUGCAUCCUCCCAUGGUCUGGGUUGAGAGUAGUUCUGGUUCUGAUUGUAUUGUCUGAAUGAUGGUUGAGAGGCUUGAGGAAUUUGAGGAAUUUGUUGCAUUGGUGGAGCUGGAGCUGCUGGUCCAUUCUGUUGGAAUCCUUGAGACCAUGAAAAAUUGGGGUGGUCUCUCCAUCCAGGAUUAUAUUUGUUGGAGUAUGGGUUGUAAUUUGAUGGCUUUCUCAUUACACCUAUGGCAUUGGCUUGAUCUGGGUAUGAGUCAUGGUCAUGUGGUUCUGUUGAUUUAGCAGUCGAUAACGAUGCUAUUUGUCGAGAGAGACCUUCAAUUAUCGCUUUAACUUCUUUGAUUUCCGAACUUGACUUGCCAAUGUGAACCUCAUUUACUCCCUUAAUUCUUUUGGUAUUCCUGAGUGACCGACUCCAUUGUUGGGAAUUAUCCGCUUGUCGCUGAAAGAAUUCCAAAAUCUCUGAUGCGCUUUUUGACAUUAGCUCUCCUCCACUUGUUGCCAUUAGCCAUUCUUGCACAUUCGGCAAUAAUCCUUCCAAAAAGUAUUGUCAUUGGUGCCAGUUCUCGUACCCAUGAUGUGGACACUUCAAGAGUAGCCCAUUGAAUCGCUCCCAUGUUUCGAAAAACUGCUCGUCCUCUCUCUGUGUAAACUCUAAAAUUUCCCUCCGAAUAGCAUUGGUUUUAUGUACUGGGAAAUAUUUAUUCAAAAAUUUUGUUACUAUUUGUUCCCAUGAUGUAAUGCUAUUAGCAGGCAAAGUAUUUAACCAUGAACGAGCUCUAUCAUUUAAAGAAAAUGGGAAUAAUCUGAGUUUAACAUCAUCGUCUGAAAAAUUUUCAUAUUUAAAAGUUUGACAAAUGGCAUGAAAAUCAUUCAGAUGAUUAUAUGGGUCCUCAUUUUCUAGGCCAUAAAAUGUGGGGAGACAAUUUAGCACACUAGGUUUUAAUUCAAAACUCCUAGCAGCUACAUUUGGGUAUCUUAUACAUGAUGUGCUCAAAUUAGCUAAGGGACUAAAAUAGUCUUUAAAUGACCUCUCUUGUGGUGCUUGUAAAUCCAUUUUAUUUUUAACGUGUUUGUGUGUGCGAAGUGUUUUUUCUAAUUCAAGAUCUAUAGGUUCAAGAUUAGGAAAUAAUGACCUACGACCAUGCAUGCAAAACAAAUAAAAUAAAAAUAAAGAUGGGAACAAAACAAAAAAAUAAAGAAGAUGGAGAAAUUACGAUACUAACCUUAUUGCGCUAUUAUAACCUUAUAAAAACACACUAGAAAAAAUUUCAUGAAAUAAAUUAAUCCGUAUUAAUGCCAAUUAAAUCAUGAGGGGGGAAUCCACACCUCAUGAACCACACUCUAAUCAAUAUGGUGCUAAGGGCUUAUCGUGCCAAAUAAUAAUAACCUUGUACUAGAGAGCCAGUGUAACCAAGGCGGUAUCUAGAUAAGAUUAUUAUUAUUUGUCAACGAAAAGUCAAAUCAUCCAAAAAAAUUAGAGGGGAAAAGAAAAUAAAUUUACCAAAUAAAGCCCAUGACACAUGUUGAGACUUCAUCUUCAACCCAAGCUUGAAAGAAAAUUAGCCACUUAUAAUUGAACUAGGGGCAAAAUGGGAAUUUAUUAAAAUACGUAGAAAAUACAAGAUGGAGAGGGAAUUACAGAAAAUGGAUCCCAAAAAUGGAUUCAGAGCUCUCAAAUUAGCGGGGGGAAGCCCCCUUUUUAUAGAUACAUGGAGUAAAUCAUGGCCAUCGGAUUAAAAACAGUUUGGACGCUCAGGAUUGCGCCACGUCAUCAGUCAACAGUACGCGGUUUGACCACGCGGAUGAACAGUAACACGGUUUGACCCGGGUGAACAGUGACGCGGUUUGGUUGAAAAUAAUUCUGUGGGAUGCAUGUACCGUACGCGAGAUUUUUCGUCCAUUGAUAUGCUACCACGUCACCAUCAACAGUACAUAAGAAUUUUAGCUCAACAGGAUCGUGACACCUCAUCAGUCAAUGCCACAUCAUCGGUGAAUGCCACGUUAUCAAUUUGUCUAUGUGAACAGUGUCAUGAACAGUAACAUAGACAGUACUGUACACGUGAAUAGUAUUGUACAUGUAAAUAGUGCCAUUUUUCCUUUUAUGCUCCUCCUAAGGUUUUCGACUGUCCUGAGUUCAAAAGUGAUGUCCGUUUUACCGUCUGAUCUCUCGUUUAUUGUGAAAUGACCAUGAUGCCCCUAAAAUACAUAAAAUACUUUAUUAAAAUCAAACACACAUAAUUAAAUUGCAAGAAGCUUAAAUACAUAAAAGUAAAGGUUGUUAGUAAAACUUGAAAUGUAAAAUGAUGAUUUUCUCCUUUAUAAAUAUACAUUUUCUAACACUCAACACUAUACUGGUGCAUGGGUUCUUUGUCUUUGGACUGUGGGUGCGGUGGGGUUUGAGGUGGUGGUUGAGGUGCUGGCGGGGAUGCUGGAGUAUAACUGGGAGGCGGUUGUCCAAGAAUGGAUGUUUGAUAAAUUUUGACAGGCCGUGGUUGAGGUUUAGGUUUUGGUUUAGGUUUAGGUGGUGGUAAUGGAUUGUCUCUGAAGAGAGUAUGGGCAUGCCAAAUAGCUUGGAAGGAUCAUACUGUUUGAUGGGGGAAAGCAUAGAGGCAAAUGGAAGAUAAGGUGGACCGAUGGAAGGAAUCGGUGGUGAUGUGGUAAAAGGGGUAGGUCUUUAUUUUUCAGAUUCAAUCUGAUCAAGUUCAGCUUUUAAGCGCCUGAUUUCCCUUUCUUUUUGGUCAAAUUCUGGGCCAUUGUAUCUUUGGGCAAGCAUGGCUCGUAACUCUGAAUCGAGUUGGCCAAUUCUAGAUUGAAGAUUUUGGUGGAUCUGCUGCAUCUGGGCAGUAAUAGAGUCAACUUUCAUCUCAAUCUGUUCAGUUCACAAACUGAUUUUCUCAACUUUGGAAUUGAUGUGCGACAAAGCAUCAUUCUGUGCUCUAGCAUUUUGGGUUUGCCAGUUGAGGACCGAUUCAAAAGGCUUGGGGGGCUCAAGGUGGCCAGUGGAGGUAAUAGCUGAAGGGAUAAAGGGUUUGGACACAACAUUUCAUUGUGAAUCUGUGUGAGGUUCUAAAGGAAGAAAGGAGGAAGAGUAAUCGGAAGAGGUAGAGGAAAACAUCAGACAAGCCAGUGGUUGGACGAUAGGUGUUGGGGUUGGGAGUGGUGAUGGAAUUUCAGAUUUGCAAUGUUUUACAAUCCAUUUAAGCUCUUUUCGGUAGAUGGGUAAUGGAGUUGGGGGAGGUGGAGGAUCUUUUGGUGAUUUGGGUUCACAGUGUUGACAUGAGACUGGAGGUUUUUUCUUUUUGGGUUUCUUUUUCCUUUUGUUCAAUGUUAGAACAAACAAAACACACAUUCCCUUAAUUAAUGAGGGUUAUAUAAUUCUUCACCUACUGAAGAGUGUCUAAACAAGAUCCACUCAUUCAACAACAAUAUCAAAUUAUCCUUCAUCUUGUAGGCUAAAUAAAAAGGUGCAGGUAUGACCAAUGUUAUGUCAUCUACAUAUAGAAGGAGAUAUAUGUAGAGAUCGUCCUUUAAUAGCUUGUAAUACACACAACAAUCAUAAUUGCAUCUCAUGAAUCCAUGUGUAACCAUGAAUUCAUUAAAUCAGAUAUACCAUUGCCUAGGGGACUAUUUUAAUAUAUAAAGAGAUUUCUUAAGUAAACACACAUGUCCAGGCUUAUUUGGAUCUUUAUACCCUUCAGGUUGAGUCAUGAUUAUCUCUUCUUGAAGUCUUCCAUGUAAGAAUGUAGUCUUGACAUCAAGUUGAUCAAGCUCUAUGUCUUGUACUGCUGUAAGUGAUAGAAUCACUCUUAUUGAUGCAUGCCUGACUACAGGAAAGAAUACCUCCUUGAAAUCAACCCCCUCCUUCUGUGUAUAACCCUUUGCCACAAGCCUUACUUUGAAUCUACUUGGUUCUAAGCUUAUCAAGCCUUCCUUGAUUUUAUAGAUCCACUUGCAGCCCAUAAUUAUUCUAUUUAUUAGUCUUUCAACCAGUUCCUAGGUAUCAUUGUUGCGCAAGGAUAAGAUUUCAUCAUCCAUAGCCUUUUUCCAUUCAAUUCUGAACUUGCACUAGAUUGCCUCAUUGAAGGUUUUAGGUUCCUCAUCAUCUGAUUUGCCUUUUUGUUCCAUCUCUAGUUAGCUUAUAUCCCUGAGCUUGUGAUUGAGAUUCUUAUUCUGAUUGUGAUAUUUCCUAUUCAUCUAACCUAUCUAUGAUAUCACUUGGAUUUGUAGCUUCAUGUGUAUCAUUUUGAUUAGGUCCACCUCAAUUAGAAGUUUAUCUGUCCCCUUAAUAUCAAUCUCAUAAACUUUUUUAACUAACUUUUUGCUUAUGUACACCAGAUUUUAUAGCCUUUAACCUCUUUUGGAUAUCUUAUAAAGAUUCCCUUUAAAGCCCUAGGAGCUAGCUUUCCCUAUCUUACAUAAGCAUAAGUCAAACAACCAAAGGCUUUCAGAUCUCCAUAGUUUGCUGGUUGACCAAUCCAUUUCUCAUGAGGUGUCUUGAAAUCUAUAGUCGUGGAUGGACUUUGUUUGACCAGAUAACUGGCCGUUAAGAGUAUUUCUACCCACAGAGUCUUGGGAAGCUUUGUUUGAACAAGCAUGCACCUAACUCUUUUUAUAAGUGUCCUGUUCAUAUUUUCUGCCAAGCCAUUCUGUUGAGGUGUUAAUCUAACAAUUUUGUGUCUUAAAAUUCCCUCCUCUGCACAAUAGUUGUCAAACCUGUGAUUACAAAACUCUAAGCCAUUGUCUAUUGUGAGUUUCUUCACCUUUCUUCCAAUUUGAUUUUCAACCAAACUCUUUCACUCUCUAAAUUUAUCAAACACUUGAUCCUUAUUUUUCGAGAUAUAGACCUAAACUUUCCUUGAAAAAUCAUCAAUGAUUGAUAGAAAAUAACUAUUACUACCUAGAGAUAUAUGUUGUGCAGGCCCCCAUAAAUAAGAAUAGACAUACUCCAGUUUAUCCUUGGACUUGUGAGUAGACCUAUGAAAGCUAGCCCUUGUUGAUUUACCUAGUACACAGUCUUCACAAAAUUCCAAGUUUCCAAUCCUAUCAUUCCCAAAUACACCUUGUUUUUCUAGUUCCUUAAGACCCAUUUCUCCUAUGUGACCCAACCUUAGAUGCCAUAGCUUGGUCCUGUCAAUGACAUCAUUUGUAGCCACUUCAGUUUCACCAUCAACUACAUCCCCAUCUAAGAUGAAUACACCAUUUUUUUUGUUACCUUUCAUGACAACAUCUGAGCCUUUGACUUUAUCACACUUGCUUCAAUUUUAACAAUACAUCCUAUUUAAUCAAGCAUCCCCAAAGAAAUAAAAUUUCUUUUCAAAUCAGGUACAUGUCUGACCUGCUUUAGCUUUCUAAUAGUACCAUCAUGUAGCUUAAGACUAACAUUAUCGAUACCUAUGACCUUACACAUAAUAUUAUUUCCCAUCAUUACUUUACCUCCAUUAUAGUCAUGAUAUUCAGUAAAGUAACUCUUAUAUGGAUUCAUAUGAAAGGUACAACCAAAGUUAAGAACCUAUUUACCCUUGUCUUUACUAUCUGUUGCAAUGCACACUCCAUCAGACUCAUAACUCUCUUCUUCAACUAUAUCUACAUCUCCAUUUUGUCCUUUCUUUUUGAGCUUCUUCUAUGGACAAUCUUUCUUGAAGUGUCCUUCUUUGUGACACUAAAAACACUUCAGAUUCUUUGGCUUUUCUUUGUUCUUCCCUUGCUUCUUUUUCUUCCAAAUGAUCUUGUUUUCCCUGCAGUUCUUUUGUGUUGAGAGCUGACUUAACUUCAUCCAGAGACAGUGUCUACCUUCCAUACAUCAAAGCAUCAACAAAAUACUCAUAGGAUUUGGGUAGAGAGCUCAUUAACAACAGAGCUUUAUUCUUAUAAUUUAGAGUUACAUCAAUUGUUUCCAAACUGUCACACACUUUGUUUGAAUUCAUCAAGAUGAUCAUCAAGAGACGAGCCCUCCACCAUCUUUAAUGUAAACAUCCUCUUCUUUAUAUAUAGUAUGUUUGAAAGAGAUUUUUUCAUGUAGAUGCUCUCUAACUUGGCCCACAAAUCAGCAAUAGUGGGUUUUUUUGCAACCUCCCUUAUAACAAAAUUUGCAAGACUCAAGAUUAUAGUUCCUCUGGCCUUCCUAUCAAUCUUAGCAGCCUGUUCAAAGUCUUUGAUGAAGAAACCUCUUUACCCUCCUUCUUGGUCAUUGGUUCAAUAGCAUCACCAAGGCCUUGUGUAACCAGAAAAGCCUCCAUUUUCACUUUCCACAUAUUAAAAUCAUUUUUCCAUUAAACUUCUCAAGGCCAAUCUUUGGUGUAGCCAUACUUGGAUCUUGAUCGGUUAACCCCGCUCUGAUACCAAAAUGUAGUGAUUCGAAUGCUUUAAGUUUUGUUAGCAACUCAAUCAUAGCCCAAGAUCACAAUCAAGAUUAGAACAAGAUGCAGAAACCCAAAUGAGCAGCCUUGAGUGUUAAUAAUGCUUUGAUAUGAAACGGGCUAUGAACAGAACACUAACAAUACAAGAAGCAAGUGCAAGAGUGCACAAUCUACAUCCACGGGAGAAGCCACCAGAAUUAGAUUUAUUGAUUAUUUUUUGAAGAUUACAGAGUAAUAAUAGAAAGAAUUACAAGAAAUAAGAUGACAUUAUUCAUCUCUCAAACUAUCUUGAAUGGUCUUCGAAAACUCAUGCUGAUCAUGCUCUGUUAAUCAGCUUAUAUACAAGUUGAUAUGAAUUCCAUAUUGCACAGCCUGAUGUCGCAUGGUUAACAGCUUCUUUAACUAACUUGAUUCCAUUCUCACAUGCGUGCUCACAUGCAUCACUAAAGCUUCACCCAAAACGUCUUCAACCUUUGCCGUUUUGAACUUUAAGUGAUUCACAUGCUCGGCUCAUGACACCCUGAGCUAAUUAAACACACUCAAAUGCUGCCGUUUAAUUAACCCAAGUUUUGAAUUCAUCAUUUUAGUCCACAUAUCUUUUAUAAAUAUUUUGAAUAUGAUUCAUUUAAUCAUAAUAUAUGUAUUUAUGUGAUCAUCAUAUUGAUUCACAAAAAAUAUAAAUACAAGUUAUCUUAUGAUUAAAUUGACAAUUAAUAAAUAGAGUUGGACGCUCUAUUUAUGUUUAAAUUAUAGCAAAUUCAUUGAAUGAUUUGUCUUAGUCAUGAUUUUCUGGACAAAACUCUAAGAACUUAUGGGAGAGAUAAGAUUUAAUUAAUUUUUAAAUGACUGUCAGACUUUUAAAUCUCAUAGGCAUAAAUUUUAUUUCAAUCUUAAUUUGAGUUAAUUAUAGGUUUAUUAUUAUGAUUGUUAUUUUAUUUGAGUUACUAAUUAGCGUUAUGUACAUUUGUAGUCAAGAUUAGUUGGUAUCUUGGUGGGAGCAAUUAUGAGCAGUGAAAUAAUAAAUUAGCAAGAGUUAUUAAUUUUUAAAUAACUAUCAAACUUUUAAAUCUCAUAGGCAUUAAUUUUGUUACAAUCUUAAUCUGAGUUAAUUAUAGUUUUAUUAUUAUGAUUGUUAUUUCAUUUGAGUUACUAAUCGCCAUUAUAUACAUUUGUAAUCAAGAUUAGUUGAUAUCUUGGUGGGAGCAAUUAUGAGCAGUGAAAUAAUAAAUUAGCAAUAUAGAAUUUAUACAACAUAUCGUUUCAUGGGUUUUUGGUACUCUAUCAUAGAACGCUCUAGCUAGAGCGUGUCAAAAUAAUUAGUAUGUUGAAUAUAGUCACUAGAGAAAACAAAGUAAGUUCAAGGAAGAAGAUAUAAUUAAAUUGAUUGGACAAUUUAGAAAUCGAUUUAAUUAAUAAUGUUGUAUAAAGGAUUGUUCAGUAAAGAAAUCAAAGUGAUCUGGUUUGGAUUAUUACUUAAAUUCACUAUCUUAGAUAGUAUACAAUUAUGUAGAUCAGUUCCAAUCUUUAGUGGGGUAGAUUUGGAAUUAAAUAAUUGGGCUAUCAUUAUAUGCGUGAUGUCUUAGCAUCAAAUAUUUUUUUUUGAUACCAUAGAAUCAAUAUGUAUCUGAUGUCUUGGCAUCAAUAUUGUUUUGAUACCAUACAAUCAAUAUCUACGUGAUGUCUUAUAAUCAAAAUUUCUUUGAUACCAUUGUAACACAAACUUGCUGAUACUAAUAACUAUUGUCAGUGUAACACUGGCACGAGCUAUGCUGACACUACAACUCGGUGUCAGUAAAACAUGUUUCUGAUACUAUAAUAGUAUCAGUGAAGGUCAUUUUUCUACUAGUGACAAGCUGCCAGUUAGUGCAAAUGUAACUUAACAAAAGGCCUUACAAAAGUGCAUAAUUUACAAAUCCUGCGUAUAAAUUGAUUUGCCACCCAAGAAGUGCAGUCCCUGAAUCUGAGCCCUUGAAGCUCGAAAGGUGGCCCAUUAAAAAAUAGUAUUAAUUUUUCCCAUUUGAGUGUAGUCAAUUUUAUUUAGCUAAUUAUUUGAGUAACUUCUAUCUUAUAAUAAUAAUAAUAGAUUAUUCGAGUCCAAAAUACAAUAUGUACGCCUUGAUAUUUAAGGAUAACUUAUCGUUAUGAUCUUCGGAGUCUUCUAAUUCCAUUUUCUAAAACGAUAAUGAGGUAAAAAACUAAAAAUCACUUAGACCACGACUUAUAUAACAAUAUAGUAAAACUUCUUGUAGUAGUAAUCUAUAUAGAAAUAAUCUUUCAGUGUGUGUAUAUAAAAUCAUAGUAAAAAAAAAUACAAAUUCCAAUAUACUGACAAACAAAAUAAAUCAAUUUUUAAUAUAUUGAAAUUUAAAUUAUUUUGUAUUUUAAUGAAAUCAAAUAAGAAUUUCGUCACUAGAGAAUGACUGUAUAUAUAAAUUCCAUAUUGUAAUAAGUUAUAAAUUUUUAAAUCCUAUAUUAAGAAACUUACUUCCACAUAGCUAAUAAUAAUUAUUUAUGCAGCGCAAAGAAUUAAAAAUAUAUGUUAGUUUUUUGAAAUUCUAUCUAUCUCUAUGUUCAUUGUCUAUACAUUAAAUUUGACAUCUCACUGCUAGAAAAAUGGUCUUUACUGACACUUGGUUUGUGACACUUUAUUAUAAAGUAUCAGUAUUUUUAUACAUAUGGGUCAUUUUCCGUGUUUAACACAUAAGUAACACAAAUUAAUGAUACUAUGGUGUCUGAAAUUUGGACAUCAUAAAUCUCUGACACUAAAGUAUUAGUAAUAAAAAUAAAAUAAUUCUAAUCAUGUAAUGGAUGGAAUUCGAAUCGGGGACCUCAAACAUCGAAGCAUUUAAGUUGGUGACACUAAGGUAUCAGUAAAAGAAAAUAAAAUUUGAAUUUUGUUUCAAACUGACAUUCGAACCUAAGACUUUUCAAAGCCAAAGCUUUUAAGUUUAAAAUUAAAAUCGUUUUGACUUUUUCUUAGUUAUGCUACUGACUAAUAUGAAGAACUUGAAAUGUAUUGAGCGCGCUUGAGUGAAAAUUUUAGUGGGUUUUGGCUGAAAUUUUACUAGUAAGUAAUAUAUUUUACUAGUAAUGACUUAGAAAAAAAAUAAAGAUAAGUAAAACGCAUUGUUUUAUCCUAACCCUAAGACCAAAAUCGAACCUAAUUUUUUUUUCUAAGUCAUUCACUCAUCAUUCUUUCAGCACUCGGUUCUCCUUCUCUGUCAAAGCUAAGUAAGCCAAACCCUAAAAUCCUAUCCCCCACUGUAAUCAAACUUCACGUCAAUCCCAACCAUACCUGAAGCAGAGGAAUUCAUUUCUAUCACGAUUUGGUUCUCUCUCUCUCUCUCUCUCUCUCUCUCUCUCUCUCUCUCUCUAUCCACUGCGAUAAAUUCAUUUAUGAAGGUGCCAUUUAUUUAUUUAUAUUUAUUUUUAAUUAUUAUGUUUCCAAUUUAUUAUUUAUAUUUAUUUUUAAUUAUUAUGUUUCCAAUUUAUAGUGCUUAUUUUCCUCAUGCAUGUUGUUUUAUUGCGGUUUAACUAUAGAAUGGGUUUUAUUUCUGUAAUCUUGAUUGUUUAUAAUUUGGGACCUGGGAAAACCUAACAGAGAGGUAAAGGUAAUUGAAGUUGAGUUAUUGAGUGCCUGAUUCAAAUCAGUUUUCUUUCCUCUCUUUCUUUAGUUGCCAUGUCACUCAACUUUGAAUUUCAUGUACACUUUAACUAGAAUUGAUGGAUGCAAUGUCAAUGCAGAUUUGGGUUUUUCUCCUUUUCCCCAUUUCUCGAAAUUGCAUUUAAAAUGUUGCAUGAUGCUUUCAAUUUGGGCCUAACUUGUUCCAUUUAAUUAGCGCCUGAUAAAGAUACAUAUUCAAUUCGGGUCAAUUCAUCAAUCUUUUCCCUGUAAUGCACUUGCGAGACUUAGUAUAAAUGCAAUAUCUCAAGUAUUGUCCUUAAUUUUUUUUUAUUUGAUUCAUUCAUAUGUUGAUGGGUACAAUAGCCUUGCCCAUUUUAGUGUCACAACCACAUGCAGCUUGUUUGUUUUUUAUUUGUUUAUUUUUUUACAUGAUCUUUAAAUUAAUAAACCUUGAAAGGGACCUUUUGUUUGUAUUUUUGAUGAGAACCAUCAAGGGAAUACCAUUAAAACUUCAAGUGAUCCUUUACACAUUCAUGGAGGCCCAAUUACAAGAGCUAGAGCCAAAAAGAUGCAAGCUGCUUUAAAUGGAUUAAUUGAGAAAAUAUGGAUUGAAAAUGCAAUUCAAGAUGCAAGAAAUUUGGGCUUGAAGAGAAGACAAGGCAUUGUGGGCAUUAUUCAAGUUAUUGGGCAGCCAAAUACACAAUUUGUAUCAAAUGCAGAAAGGUCAAAUUCGGAAUAAAACCUGUAUUGAUUGAGCCAUAAGUAAUGUGCAAGAUAUAUACUGUUGGAAAGAUAAUUAAGUUAGCUUUCCAAUAUAUUUUAUAGAGCUGGAUUUCGAAUUCUCUAGAAGGAGUUAUGACCAAUUCAUUACAGCUUGCUCAGACUUGGGAUUUUCAACGACUCCUUUGUUUUUCAACUUCAUUUGUUUGUUUUGUUUCAAGUUUGUCAAUGUGUAAGGUAAGUCUACCAUCAAUGAUGGUGGGCUAACAUUAAGUUUGUCAAUGAUAGCAUUAAUUAUAGUAGGCCAGCAUUAAGUUUGUCAAAGAUAGCAUUAAUUAUGGUGGGUUGGUGAAGACUUUUGAAGCAUCCUUUGACAAACCUACUUGGAGGGUUGUUCCAAUAUUUCCAUUUGUAUUUUUAGGAUCUUGGGUUUCUUUUAGCCUAUUUAAACUCAGCAACCUUGCUAUGUAAUAAAAAAAAUUAGAGAUGAAUGUAAUAAAAAAAGAAUAAAAAGAUUAUUCUUUCUUUGGUUCUUUUGAGAACUAGUGAACUUAUCAAGAAUUUGCAUUCUUGUAGCGUUCUAAAUUUAGACUUAUCACUCACCUUCUCAUCUAUUUCUUGAGUGUGGCGUCAAUAUCAUUCUCUAUACCUUUGGUUCAUGUUUUCUUAAGCAUUGGGUCAAGGUUUUGUUUGUCAUAAAUCUGUUUAGAACUUUCUUGGGAAGUUGAAACUACAAAUUAAGUGUGGGUUUGAAAGUUUCAUUGUGGGAUUCGCAUCAUUUGGUAUCAGAGCUAGUUUCGAAUCAGGUUUGAAUGUCUUAUUUAUUUUUAUUAUAAAAAAAAGAAAAAAAAAGUACCAAAAAGAAAAAAAAAAUACCAAAAAAAAACCAAAUUGCAAAAUGAAUCAAGUAUUCCUACUUUUAUCAAAUUGAAAUUUAGUUAUUCAUUUUCCUUGACAUUGUUUACACACACUAUCAAUUGUGUUCCUUUGCUUUCUUGGUUUCUUUUCAUCAAUUUCCUUUGUCGUUCUUUGUGUCCUCUUAAUUCAUUUUCUUUGUUUAGUGUCUUGGUUUGUCAUAUUUGGUGUGCCACUUGGGUUUUUCUUGAUUUUGUUUAUUUAGUUCAAUAAAGAACUGAAAGAGAGAAUAAGAAAAAAAAAAGUUUGUGUGAUCAUUAGAGGGUAAAAGCCAAUUUGUGUGUUAAACACGAGAGUUAAGUGACAUCAAAUUGAGUGAAACACGUGAGGGAGUGUUGUGAGGUCUUUUUGCUAACAUGCUUUUCAUAUCAAAAAUAUGUCAAAAGAUCAAGAAGCUAUAGACCAAUCAAUCAUGCUCAAAGCCAUGCAACAACAAUUUGAGCACAUGAAUCUGAUGUUUGGAGAGAUCUGUGACAAAUUGGAGAGGCAAGACACUGCCAUAGCCAAUCUACAAAGGGGGCAACAACCAAUAGCUCCUAAUGUAAGAGGUAAUCAAGAGCGUGCUGUCAUGGGAGAAGAAGAUGGUGAUGACAUAGAUGAUUUUGAUAACCAGGCCACCGUUGACAUGCGUGGAAGAGAUAAUAGAAGGGCAAGACGUAUAGAUCGUGAUUUGGGGAGUAUCAAACUGAAAAUUCCUUCUUUUCAAGGUAAAAAUGAUCCGGAAGCUUAUUUGGAGUGGGAAAAAAAGGUGGAGCUAGUAUUUGAUUGCCACAACUACUCUGAGGAGAAAAAGGUGAAACUAGCUGCUGUUGAAUUUACUGAUUAUGCUAUUAUUUGGUGGGAUCAACUUGUUUUGAGUAGGAGAUGAAAUUGUGAAAGGCCUAUAAACACUUGGGAGGAGAUGAAGGCCAUCAUGAGGAGGAGAUUUGUUCCUAGUCAUUAUUAUAGGGAGCUACACCAAAGGCUUUAAAGUCUUACACAAGGUUCUAGAAGUGUGGAAGAUUACCACAAGGAGAUGGAAAUAAUCAUGAUUCGAGCCAACAUUGAAGAAGAACGAGAUUUUUACAAUCAAGAUAUUGCUAAUGUGGUUGACUUGCAGCACUAUGUUGAGUUGGAAGACAUGGUUCACAUGGCCAUGAAAGUGGAACGACAAUUGAAAAAGAAAGGUUCCACUAGAACCAAUUUGGGUUCAUCUUCCUCAUGGAAGUCAAAAUGGAGCAAAGAUGAAAAGGUUGUUUCAAAGCCUAAGAUUGAGCCAAUCAAGGAUCAUAAAGAAGGAGGCAACCAAAGCAAAGGUAAAUUUGAUUCCCAACACUCUAGAAAUAGAGAUAUUAAGUGUUUUAAAUGUUUGGGGACAGGUCAUAUUGCAUCUCAAUGCCCAAAUAAGAGAGUAAUGAUCUUGAGGGAUGAUGGUGAUGUUGAAACCGAGAGUGAAUCAGAUGAUGAUCCUAUGCCACCUUUGGAGGAUGCUAAUGAUGGUGUAGAAUAUCCUGUUGAUAGUAAAUUGAUGGUUGCUAGGCGUGCUCUCAACAUGCAAGUAAAAGAGGAUGCGGAGGUACAACGUGAUAACAUCUUUCAUACUAGAUGCCACAUCAAAGAUAAGGUAUGUAGUAUGAUAAUUGAUGGUGAAAGUUGUACUAAUGUAGCUAGCACUAGUUUAGUUGAAAAAUUAAAUUUGAAAACUUUGAAACAUCUGAGGCCAUAUAAGCUACAAUGGCUGAAUGAUUGUGGGGAAGUUAAAGUAAAUAAACAAGUGCUGGUUUCAUUCUCUAUUGGGAGAUACAAGGAUGGGGUUCUAUGUGAUGUAGUACCCAUGCAUGCUGGACACAUUCUUUUGGGUCGACCUUGGCAAUAUGAUAGGUGCGUGACACAUGAUGGUUACUUAAAUAUAUAUUCUUUUGUAAUGAAUAAAAGGCAAAUCACUCUUGUACCAUUAACACCUAGGCAAGUGUAUAAGGAUCAAAUGUGAAUACAAAAAGAGAGUGAUACAAAAAAAGAAAAUGAGAGUACAAAAGAAAGAGAGAUUGAAAGAAAAGCAAGUGAAAAGAUAGAAAAAAGUAUUGUUCAGAGAAAAGAGAGGCAGCAAGUGAACUUGUUUGCAAAAGAGGGCAAGGUUAAGAGGGCUUUCUUUUCAAAACAGCUUAUCGUUGUACUUUUGUGCAAAGAGGCUUGUUUACACACUAAUGAGCUUAACGUUUCUUUGCCUAGUGCUAUUGUGACUCUUUUGCAGGACUUUGAUGAUGUGUUUCCAAAUGAAGUCCCUAACGGUUUGCCACCUAUUAGGAGAAUUGAGCAUCAAAUAGACUUCGUCCCUGGAGCUACCAUUCCUAAUAGACCUGCAUAUAGAAGUAACCCUGAGGAGACAAAGGAGCUUCAAAGGCAAGUUGAAGAACUCUUGGCAAAAGGAUAUGUGAGGGAGAGCAUGAGUCCAUGUGCGGUACUAGUUUUACUAGUGCCCAAAAAGGAUGGAACAUGGAGGAUGUGCAUUGAUUGUCGUGUAAUUAAUAAAAUCACUGUAAAGUAUCGACAUCAUAUUCCUGGACUUGAUGACAUGCUUGAUGAAUUGCAUGGUUCUUGUGUGUUUAGUAAAAUUGAUCUUAAAAGUAGAUGAGUGGAAAACUGCCUUUGGUUUAUAUGAGUGGUUAGUGAUGCCAUUUGGGUUAGGUUAAUGAACCAUGUUUUGCGUGCUUUUAUUGGUAAAUUUGUAGUUGUCUAUUUUGAUGAUAUUUUGAUCUAUAGCAAAGGCUUAGAUGAACACAUUGAACAUUUGCAAAGUGUAUUGACUGUUUUUCUUGGUUAUGUUGUAAGUGCUAAAGGAAUUGAGGUUGAUAAAGAGAAGGUAAAGGCUAUUAAAGAGUGGCCUACACCUAAAAGUGCAUAUGGUAAAUGGUGUACGUCACUUCUGUGCCCAUGCAAGCGGACAAUUCAAAGACUCUGAAAAGAAUUACCAUGUGAUCUACAAAGAGAUUUUGGCGGUCAAGUAUGGAAGCUUUGGCAGAUUUGUGAGGACAAUUUCGAGCAAAGUGACCGCGUUUCUUGCAGAUGAAACAACAGUUGUGCUUUUUCUUUAUAUACUGGGAAGCAUCUCCAUUAACUGCUCGGAAAAGUUUCAAGUGUUUUUCCCAACAAUCAGAGGGAAGGACAGAAGGAUCAAUCAUACUAGUAAAAAUCCCCAUUACACUAUCACUGACCCAGACCCUCCUGCUACAUCAGCCCCAAAAGAAAUGACUAACGCUGAUGAAGAAGCCUAUCUGCAAGCUGAAGCUUAUCUUGAUCAAAGACACGUUUGGCUCAAAAUGGCUCAAAAUGGUCAAGUCAAACUAUCUUUUCAAACACCUGACACCAAGCCUGUUUCAGACACUUCACAACUUUCCUACACUGUUAUGAUAACAGUAAUUCAAACUGGUUGAGAUCUUGGGGUAUAUCUAAAGUGACAUACUGCUUGCUUUGGGAGGCUUAAGAAGUUUUCAUGGUUUGGCUAGUUUUUAUAGAAGAUUUGUGAAAGAUUUUAGCACCCUUGCUGCACCAUUAACUGAAAUUGUGAAGAAACAUGUGGGAUUUAAGUGGGGUAGUGAACAAGAAAGGGCAUUUAAUCUAAUUAAGGAGAAAUUGGUUUCUGCACCAUUACUUGCUUUACCUGAUUUUGCUAAAACUUUUGAAAUUGAGUGUGAUGCUUCAGGUAUAGGUAUUAGAGCUGUUUUGAUGCAAGAAGGGCGUCCAAUUGCUUAUUUUAGUGAGAAAUUGAGUGGAGCAGCCCUAAACUAUCCUACCUAUGACAAGGAAAUGUAUGCAUUGGUGAGGGCAUUGGAAACUUGGCAACAUUAUCUUCUACCUAAAGAGUUUGUUAUACACACUGAUCAUGAGUCCUUGAAGCAUUUGAAAGGACAAGGUAAGUUACAUAAGGACAUGUCAAAUGGGUUGAGUUUAUUGAGUCAUUUCCUUAUGUGAUCAAAUAUAAACAAGGUAAGGAGAAUGUGGUGGCUGAUGCAUUAUCUAGAAGGUAUGUACUUAUCUCUACAUUAAAUGCAAAGUUGUUAGGAUUUGAGUACAUUAAAGAAUUAUAUGUUAAUGAUCCUGAUUUUGCUAAUGUGUUUAAUGCUUGUGAGAAAGUUGCAUUUGGUAAGUUCUAUAGGCAUGAUGGGUUUUUAUUUAGAGAAAAUAAAUUGUGUGUGCCUCAUAGUUCUCUGCGUGAAUUGCUUGUGCGUGAAGCUCAUGGGGGUGGUUUAAUGGGACAUUUUGGCAUUGUCACUUGUAAACAUGUUAACCUUGGAUUGUAUAACCCUCUGUCCAUACCUAGUGAACCUUGGGUUGAUAUUUCUAUGGACUUUGUUUUGGGUUUACCUAGGUCAAAAAGGGAAAAUGAUUAUGUUUUUGUUGUUGUUGAUAGGUUUUCAAAGAUGGCACAUUUCAUUCCAUGUCACAAAACUGAUGAUGCAACAAACAUAGCUAAUUUGUUUUUCAAGGAAAUAGUCAGGUUGCAUGGAGUACCAAGGAGCAUAGUUUCAGAUCGAGAUGCUAAGUUCUUGUGCCACUUUUGAAAAAUUUUGUGGGUUAAGUUGGGUACUAAACUUUUGUUUUCUACUACUUGUCAUCCAUAAACUGAUGGACAAACUGAGGUUGUAAAUAGAACUCUGUAACUUUGUUGUGUGCCAUUAUUCAAAAGAACUUGAAAACUUGGGAAGAAUGUUUGCUUACAACAGAACUGUCCAUUUAGCUACUAAAGUUUCACCAUUUGAGAUUGUAUAUGGUUUUGCAAUUGCAUGAGAGAACAUGACAACACAUAGAAAAGAGAACUGAACAAUAUGCUACUCAAGCCAACAAAGGACGUAAGCAAGUGGUUUUUCAGCCUGGAGAUUGGGUUUGGGUGCAUAUGAGAAAGGAGAGGUUCCCAGUACAAAGGCGUUCCAAGUUGCUUCCAAGGGGAGAUGGUCCAUUUCAAGUGGUUGCACGGAUCAAUGACAAUGCCUACAAAUUGGAUCUUUCUGGUGAGUAUAAUGUUAGUGCUACUUUUAAUGUUUCUGAUCUUUCUCCUUUCGAUGUACGUGAAGAUUCGAGGACGAAUCCUUUUGAGGAGAGGGGGAAUGGUGAGAACCAUCAAGGGAAUACCAUUAAAAUUUCAAGUGAUCCCUAGAGCCAAAAAGAUGCAAGCUGCUUUAAAUGGAUUAAUUGAGAAAAUAUGGAUUGAAAAUGCAAUCCAAGAUGCAAGACAUCAUGAAUUGGGCUUAAAGAGAAGACAAGGCAUUGUGGGCAUUAUUCAAGUUAUUGGGCAGCCAAAUACAUAAUUUGUAUCAAAUGCAGAAAGGUCAAAUUCGGAAUAAAAACUAUAUUGAUUGAGUCAGAAGUAAUGUGCAAGCUAUAUACCAUUGGAAAGAUAAUUAAGUUAGCUUUCCAAUAAAAUUUACAGAGCUGGAUUUCUCUAGAAGGAGUUAUGACCAAUUCAUUACAGCUUGUUCAGACUUGGGAUUUUCAACGACUCCUUUGUUUUUCAACUUCAUUUGUUUGUUUUGUUUCAAGUUUGUCAAUGUGUAAGGUAAGUCUACCAUCAAUGAUGGUGGGCUAACAUUAAGUUUGUCAAUGAUAGCUCAAAGAUAGCAUUAAUUAUGGUGGGUUGGUGAAGACUUUUGAAGCAUCCUUUGACAAACUUACUUGGAGGGUUGUUCCAAUGUUUCCAUUUGUAUUUUUAGGAUCUUGGGUUUCUUUUAGCCUAUUUAAACUCAGCAACCUUGCUAUGUAAUAAAAAAAUUAGAGAUGAAUGUUAUUUGAAUUUAAAAGAUUAUUCUUUCUUUGGUUCUUUUGAGAACUAGUGAAUUUAUCAAGAAUUUGCAUUCUUGUGGCAUUCUAAAUUUAGACUUAUCACUCAACUUCUCAUCUAUUUCUUGAGUGUGGCGUCAAUAUCAUUCUCUAUACCUUUGGUUCAUGUUUUCUUAAGCAUUGGGUCAAGGUUUUGUUUAUCAUAAAUCUGUUUAGAACUUUCUUGGGAAGUUGAAACUACAAAUUAAGUGUGGGUUUGAAAGUUUCAUUGUAUUGUUGACUUUCGACUAGAAUGUUUAGUUUGUUAUUACUUUUUCUUAUUUCAAUUGAAUAGCUCUAAUCAGUUGAAUUAAUAUGUUCAGUUCAAUCUCUCGCUUUUGAAGAAUCACAAAAGUUUACGGUGUAACAACUGUUUUCAUUUGGUAGUUCUUUUAAAUCACUCACUUUCUUUCAGUUUCUAUUAUUGUUGUGUUAUGAGUUUUACUUGUACUGACAUGUUUUAAAUAUUGACAUGCAUGGUCUUACUUUCAUUUUUGUUGCAUAGACUCUUUUGGAAUUAAAUUUUUUGUUCUAAUGUAUACUUUUGUUUGUUCUAAUAUGAAAAUGAAAUUUUGAAAAAUGUGGAUGUGGCAUGUUUUGUUGGCUUGCUGAAUGUGUACAUGUAAGUUAGAUUUGCUGGCUUGCUGAAUGUGUACAUGUAUGCUCUGUUGGCUUGUUGAAUGUGCACAUAUGCUUUGUUGGGUUGCUGAAUACAUACAUAUAUUUAAGUGACUCUAAACAAAUAGAACUUAGAUUUAUUUUACAAUUUGUAUUUUUUAAUUUAAACCUAAAAGUUUGGAAUUAUUUGUGCAAUUUAAGUAAACUUAUUAAACUAACAACAUCUAACAAAUGAACAGGUAACAAUAUAUAUUAUGGACAAAACUUGGAUAUUCUAUGAUAGAUUGUCUGAUGAGUAUAGUCAUGGGGUUGAUGAUUUCUUGGAGUUUGCCAUUCUUAAUUAUGAAAAUAGGAUGUCAAUCAGAUGUUCUUGUACCUCUUGUUGUAAUAUGGAGUUUUUUACUCCUCAACAAGUGAGGCUACAUCUAUUUAAAAAAUGUUUUCUAGAAAAAUAUUUAGUUUGGAAUUGGCACGGUGAGUGGACCGGAAACCUACCUCUGUAAAAUGCCAAGACCAGCCAUAAAAUCAACAUUUUAGAUGUCCAGAUGAUAGUUAUGUAGAUGACAUGGUUCAUGAUGCUUUUGAGCAUUGUGAUAAAGAUCUUAGUUCUUUUAAGAAUGUGCUUGAAGAUGCUGAAAAGCUCCUAUAUCUGGGUUCAAAGCAUUCAAAGUUAUCGGGUCUAAUGAAACUGUACAAUAUAAAAGGACUUUAUGGCUAGUGUGAUAGUGGGUUUAUUAUGGGUAUCUCAACAUCUGAGGGUAUCUCAAAAUAAGAUUCUGGUUGGGCUGGUGCGGUUUCUUCUGUUUGGGCCAUUAAAAGCUUAGUAAUGCCUGCAUAAGCUUUUUCAAAAUCACUAGUCAAGACUGAAGAUUCUGUCUCAGACUGAGUAAUCGAAGUAUUCUCAUCAGCAGCUGAGGUAGUACUCUCGGAUUCAGAAGGGACAAAUGUCUCAAGCUUUUUAGAACUGUAUUAGUGCAUAGGUUAUUUGUCUUUGGUUUGGGUUGGUUGAGGCUGUGGUGGAGCAGGUGUAUAUCCUGGGGAUUGUUGUUCAGUAGUUGAGGUUACAGGUGGAUGGAUUUUAACUGGCUUAGGAGUAGCUUUUGGUUUUAGCCUUGGCUGGGGUUGUAAAGGUUGGCUUUUGAAAAGAGUGUGUGUCAUCCCGAACAAUUUGGAAGGAGCAAGCAUAUGGGUGAAUGGAUGAUAAGUCAGGCUUAUGGUAGGUAUUAGUGGUGACUUGGUGAAAAGUGUAGGUCUUUGUCUCUCAGAAUCAAUCUGAUCCAGUUCUGCUUUCAAGCGUCUGAUUUCCCUUUCCUUUUGGUCAAACUCAGGACCAUAGCAUCUUUGGCUGAGCAUGGCACGUAAGUCGGAAUCCAACUGAAUGAUUAUGGAUUGUAAAUCUAGGUAAAUUUGUUGCAGUUGUGAGGUUAUGUUAUCAACCUUGGAUUCAAUGUGAUCAGUUCGUAAACUAAUCCUGUCAACUUGUUUAUGAAUGUCCAUCAAGGCAUCAUUCUGUGCUCUGGCAUUUUGUUUUUGCCAAUUGAGAAUUGUCUCAAAAGGUCUGGGUUCUUCAAGAUGGCCGGUGGAGGUUACGGCCGAAGGAAUGAAGGGUUUUGAAAUAAUUUUUUUGUAAGAGUCGGAUUGAGUAUCUAAAGUUGGAAAAUCGGUGGAGUAGUCUUUGGAGGUAGAGGCAAACAUCAUACAAGCGGUGGGUUGUAUGAUGCAAUCCACUUGAGUUCUUUUUUGUAAAUGGGUAUUGGAUUUGGUGAAGGUGGAGGUAGAUCAUUAUGUGGCUGUGGUUGGAACUGUUUACAUGGGUGAUGGAGUUUCUUUUUUGGCUUUGUUUUCCUUAUGGAAACUAAUUCAUCUUCCUCCCAAUCAUCCCAACAUGGACAAUCUGGGUCACAAUUUCCUGAUCUAGGUGCAUCCUAUAAAAAAUGGCCAUUUAUUUUGGGUGGAUAGACAUGAUAUCCUUCCGUAUUGUACCCGGUAAUAGGUAAAUCUUCUUGGGCUGUAUGAACAGCUGUGAUCAUAGAAGAUUGUGUAAAAGAUAACCUUCGAGGUUCUUGAGGAGCACUUGGUGGAGGUCGGAAGGUCAUUCUUAUUGUUCCGUCACGCCGUCUUUCAAACAUUCCUUCUGAUGUCUGAAUUGGAGCAGUGUUGUUGUGAAAUUGCUCAUAAUUGGAUAUCCAUUCUAAAGGCAUGAGUUUAAUUAGCUAAUCUUGAGGAAUUUGCCUUGGGAUUUGGAUUUUUGGUUGGAAUCUGAUCGGAUUCUGCUAACACCAUAAGGGCAUCAGAGUUGUGUUCAGGUGCAGGGAGAUCUAAGGCAUGAUUUUGAAGCCUAUAGACCAACUGAUGAUGAAGUGUUGCAAUCUUUGCAGAUGAGAUCUGUUCUGCUCCUUGUAUCUGGACCUGUACUUUUAGAGCAGUUGGCAAGUUGGUGUCUUGAAGAGAAAGGUUGAAGUUUGGAUAAACGGUGAGAAGUACACUGCCUACAUGUAGAGUGCUUAAGACAGUACCAAUGAUAGCAUCUUGGUAUUGUUUAAACCUUGAAUCUAACAUAGCAACUCUAGUUAUAACAUGUAAUCCCUUUCUACCAUGUAGGGUGAGGAUUAGUCUUACUCCUCCAAGAUGGAGAUGAGUAUAUCUUUCUCUUUUCCAGUUGGUUAUCAACUCUUGGGGGAUUUCAAGAGUGACAAACUGUUCAGCUAUGGUAGCUUGGAGACUGCAUUGGUCCAAUCGAGAUGACUGGAUGUAUUCCUUGGGGUGUGGUCUUUUUGUAGAAAUGAGGGUUUUGAUACUUCGAGUGAAGGAAUUUCCUCUCUUAUAUAAUUGAUAAGGACUGAUAAGAGGGAAAGAGGAGCCCUCAUAGACACUGGUGCUCAACGAAGUAUGUUAAACCCUGACCUCCUUCUAGCACAAUACUGGAAUCAGCACACUGAAAAUUUCCGUGCUGCGGAUCAAAAAAAUUCAAAUUAAACUAAAGUAUGAAUUUGAAUAAUUAAAUAUAAGUAUAUAACAUUCCUACUAACAUUUAAAUAGGUAUCAAAUAAAAUAGUAUUACAAAUAUCUAAAAUAUUGUUUGAAAACAUGUCAAAUAUUUACAUGAACACAUAAUGACAGUUUGCAGGAAACAAUCAGUACAUCUACUCUUUGACCUUUACCUUUCCCUUCGCCUUUCCCACCUAUAAGUGCAGUAUAUAUAAUCAAUUAGCUACUAUGCUACAAAAAUCAAUUUUUUGAUAUUUACAAGCAAAAAUAUAAUUUACCUCAUUAUUGUAUGCUUCAAGUAACUUUGCAACAUACAUGGUCCACUGAUCGCGAAGUUGUGAAAGAUCGUCCAUAGUGUACUCAUCACAACCCUUGAACUUAAAAAAUAAAGCAACAAAAUGUAUUCAUAUAUUUUAGAAUCUGUCCUAAAAUAAAACAACACAAUAAAACAUAUAUUUUUAAGUUUGUUACGAUUAACAUCAAAACUGAAGAAGAUGCAAAUAAAUUACAUCACCAUAGCAAACAACGGUUACCAAUGUUGUCUAAGAAGCUGACAAUUUAUAAUAUAUUAUUUUGCUUUACUCAAUAUUACUUCUAACACUCAGCACUAGGAUUUAUAUGCCUUCUAUUUGUACAUGCAACAGCUCCAAUCAUUGCUCAAUAAUACUUUAACACUGAACACUGAGAUUUAUAUGCAAUCUAUUUGUACAUGCAAUAGCUCCAGUCAUUUUGGUUUACACUAAAGUGCCUUAAAUACAUAGUAGAACACACUAAAAAUUGGCAUCAAUUUUUCCAAACAUGUUGAAUGCAUUCAGUAAAAUAUAUAUAGAGUUAUAGCUUUUACUUAUAAUAAAUAUGGCAAAUAAAGUGUAUGUGAUUAUCCUAAACAUACACAACACUUCCUCUCAUCCCUAGCACAAGAUAUGAUUAUAUUGCUAGUUUCAAGCAUAAAGCAGCAAACUGUUCACCCAUUAACCAUCUUCACAAUGCAUUCUUUGAAAAAAUAUUAAACAAGUUCUGGAGAAACUCACAUUAUUUUCAAGAAUGCACAAAUCGCGAACAAUAUCCUGGAUGUACUUCAUCACAUAGUAACCACAUUCAAAGGUUCCAGGUUGUUUCGGACACUAAAAAAAAAACUUAGUUUCAAAUAUACUAAUGAAGUAACAAUGGAAAUCAUAACUCUGUUUCAUUAAUACCUUCACAGAGACCCACUCCACAACCUUCUUUUUAUUACUCUUCACUUGAUGCAUUGUUAUCCCAUUAUAAAUAAUAAAUAACAGAUGCAACAAAUUAAUCGACAACAUAAAAAAUUAACAAAGAAUUAAGUAAACUAAUUAAACUUAUUCACCAUCUGCUUCAACUCAUCAUCAGGAUUAUCACCUAAUAGAUCAAGAUAAUAAAUUUUUUGCCUCACCGUUGAGGCUCGGGUGUUGAAAAGAUAGUUUGACUUGAAACGGUCAGGUUUUUGGGUCUGAACAUUAAAGAAAUACCUGUAAAGGAACUUCUUUACAAAAUCUUGCAGCUGGUAAGCCGAUUGGAAAGAGAUGUUCAUGGGGAAGUUUCUCUGGUUGAGAGCUUUGACCUUUCUGAUGCACAGGAUCCUUAGGCUUAAGGCAAGUGCAGAGCAUACUCAGUAUAGAAAAUUAGAGGCGAGCGUAUCAUUAUUAACCCAAAUAAUUUCUUUGAGCCCUAGAAGAGAGAAAAGAUUUAGGGAAACAAACAAGUAAAAAAAAAAAAAAACAGAUUACAAGAUAAAUUUAAAUCAUUUAUAUGGGAAGUCAAUUAUCUGGGCUAUUUGAACCUUGUCUAAAAGGUCUGAAAUAUAGGAACACCUAUCUGGGUAGCUUGCUUGACUUGACUGUAACUUAGCUAUGCAUCCAAAUUGAAUUGGAAUAACACCACUACCAUUAUCCAUCUCUUCAUACAAGUGUAUAUUAAAAAAAGAAACUUUCAUAACAUGAAUAUAAGAAAUAAAUUAAUGACAGUUUGCAAAAUCAGAAAACAUAGUAAAAACAUAAAUCAAGUUUUUUAUUUCUUACUUAAUCCAUAUCUCCAAAACAGAAUUUGAGAGCUCUGUAAACUCAAUGACUUCAUUGCAAAUCUGCUUGUCCAAUCUACUCUCCUAGUAGACACCAAAAGUCUUCAAAUCAUGGGCAAUCAUAAUCGUCCGUGGCAAGGAGCUCUCAAUCAUCAAAGAAAAGAUGUUCAUUUGUGAACUUUUGUUCUCUUUUCUUGCUUUCACAGCUCCACGGGUAUUCUUUCUCAGAAUCAGUUUCCUUGCUGUCACUGGUUUUACAACAAUGGGUUCCUUUGUUGUUCGUUUCUGUUCAUACAGAUAUACCACAACAUUUGUAGGAGACUUUCGGCCAUCCACUUUUCUCUUUGAAGGAGUUAAUCUUGGAGAUCUUCUUGGGGUGAUUUUUGAAGUGGCUUAACAAUCUACUGGGGGUGGAUUCUGUGCAGGGGAUUGCAGGGGAGGUGUGUUGAUGUUUUUGUUAGGUUUUGGACAAACAGUGGGGUCAUUGGUCACUGACUUUGGAGUAACUUUGGUCACCGACUUGGGGGUAGCUUUGGGGUUGUUGGUCACUGACUUUGGAGUUGCUUUGGGGUUGUUAGUCACUGACUUUGGAGUUGCUUUGGGGUUGUUAGUCAUGGACUUUGGAGUAACUUUGCUGGGUGAUCGACGAUCUAUCUCCAUCUUAACACUGUUAGGAAAGUUGGAACUGCCAACUUCAGUGUUGUUGCAGGCGUUUAUCCUUGCAUUCAUUCGAUCUAAUUGAGCUUGCAUAAACUGAAAACUCUCCUGAUACAUUCUCCGUUCUCGCGCCAACUCUGUGGGGUCAGGAACAUUGAAAUACAUGGAUGGGGUGAUGAAUUGACCCAAUCCUUGCACCCGACUUCCAUUAGGCUUCUUUUGAAGUGCUUCACCUAGGACAUCAUUCGGUCCUUAGGAUUGGAACGUUCCCUGCUCAACUUGACUUCUUAGCUCACUCUACAAAAUAAUUACAAAAAUAUUUGAUCAAAAUUAGGAAUAAAAGAACAAAUAAGUUAAAUAAUGACAAUGUAUGCAUACAUCGCAUUACAAGCAUUUUUCGAAAUAAACAAACCAACCUAAUAUGUUAAUUUACAUGAUCUUAGAUUAUAAAAUAAUUCAGGCAGCUUUCAGUUUCAAACUAUUUGCAUUGGUAAUUUUCAGUGGUGGUGGAAACUUACAAUUCUCUCAGCCACUUGCUGCACUUCAGGUAUAUAAGUUCCAUCUUUUCUCCUGUGAGCCAAUAACCAGGCUUCACUGCAGUCAAUCUCCCGCUCAGUAACUUAGAGGUUCAACUGCUGUAAUAAUUCAACAAAAAUUGAAUUGAAAGAUGCUAUGAAUCAUCCUAUUAUUUGUAUUGAAAAUGUCAUAAGUUUGUAUAGAGUGGUUAUUAUACUUACUCUUUUAUGCAAUAGCCCAGCAUAUCCUGUGCUGCCCAAGUGAUGAUUGUACAUAUUCUUUGCUCUUUUUUCCUUUGCUGUCUUACUUUUUUUUCCUGCACAAAGCGGAUAUUGAUUAAAAUGGUUACAGAAACUCAAUAAUAUUAUCUAACUAACAGAAUUUUAAACAUACCUGAAAGUCUUCAGAUAAAAUCUUAUCAACAAAGCUCUUCCAGUCCUCUUUUCUAAUGCCUUCAUACUCAAGAGGAGGCUUUUUUAGCGAACUCAAGUUGUUUGCAUUGGGCAAAAUAUAUUCAUUGGCCAACUUACAUCUAAAGCCCCUUAAUGCAAUUCCCAUCCACUUGAACACUUGGGUUUUCGCCUUAAGACUCAACUUAAACUUUUCCUGAAAAUGAGUCCAUAACGUCUCGUUGAUGUCUAGUGGCACUUUCCUCCAAUCAUCAUAUAUAAUUGGAACUUUUUCCUGUACAAUCACCCCAAUGUAGUUCCUCAUAUCGUUUCUCUUUUUUCCAACUGGAACUCCAUAGGAAUUGUACAUAACCUCAGUCUGGUCACUAGUUUCUCUCUGCAAGUCUUUCUUCUUUGUAAGGUUUCGUCUUGGUCUUCCUUCUAGAUCUGGAUAAUAUGUUGGCUCCUCUUUUUCUGCCAUGUCUCCAACAAACCUACAAAUACAUAAAAGUGGAUGAGUGUGUUGUGCAAAUUUUAAUGUACUCGCAAGCGCACGAAUCUAUUGUAGUAUAGAUUAAUGGUGACGAGUGUCGAUCCCACGAGGAGGUGGAUUUUAAUUAUGUGUAGAAUUAAUUUUGUAAAUGGGUGGUUGGAUUUAUGGUGGAAGUGAUUUGAAUUAUCCUAAAAUUGGAAUUGAAAUGGCGAUAAUAAAUUCUAAAAUUGGAAUUGCAAUGGCGAGAGUAAAUUGAAGAGAAAUCUAUUGAAAUAACGUACUUGGGUAUCUGGAUCCGUAUCAACAUGCAUCAUGGGCUAAAUAAUCCGUAUUAAUGCCAAUUAAAUCAUGAGGGGGGAAUCCACACCUCAUGAACCACGCUCUAAUCAAUAUGGUGCUAAGGGCUUAUCGUGCCAAAUAAUAAUAACCUUAUACUAGAGAGCCGGUGUAACCAAGGCGGUAUCUAGACAAGAUCAGUAUUAUUUGUCGACGAUAAGUCAAAUCAUCCACAAAAACUAGAGGGGAAAAGAAAAUAAAUUUACCAAAUAAAGCCCAUGACACAUGUUGAGACUUCACCUUCAACCCAAGCUUGAAAGGAAAUUAGCUACUCAUAAUUGAACUAGGGGCAAAAUGAGAAUUUAUUAAAAUACAAAGAAAAUACAAGAUGGAGAAGGAAUUACAGAAAAUGGAUCCCAAAAAUGGAUUCAGAGCUAUCAAAUUAGGGGGGGGAGGCCCCCUUUUUAUAGAUACAUGGAGUAAAUCAUGGCCAUCGGAUUAAAAACAGUUUGGACGCUCAGGAUUGCGCCACGUCAUCAGUCAACAGUCCACGGUUUGACCACGCGGAUGAACAGUAACACGGUUUGACCCGGAUGAACAGUAUCGUGAACAGUAACGUAUACAGUACCGUACACGUGAAUAGUUCCGUACAUGUGAAUAGUGCCAUUUUUCCUUUUAUGCCCCUCCUAAGGUUUUCGACCGUCCUGAGUUCAAAAGUGAUGUCCGUUUUGCCGUCUGAUCUCUCCUUUAUUGUGAAAUGACUAUAAUGCCCCUAAAAUACAUAAAAUACUUAAUUAAAAUAACACACGCGUAAUUAUAUCACAAGAAGGUUAAAUACAUAAAAGUAAGAGUUGUUAGUAAAACUUGAAAUGUAAAAUGAUGGUUUUCUCCUUUAUAAAUAUGCAUUUUCUAACGCUCAACAGAGUGCACCAAAUACCAAUCUAAUAUCCCAAUAUAAUAAUAAAAUAAUAAUAAAAAAUUUGUUGGUGACUUACGGGAAGUAGUGGUAAUGAGCAUAGUAAUUGGAUUAUUCAUUUUCUCCACCAAUAUUUACAAGAAAAACAUCAACAACUAAUCUUACACAAACUCCUCAUCACCCAAACCUAACUUACAUUCUGGAAAAUUGUUGGAUAAUGGUGCAUACUCAUCGAUGCCAUCACACAAGGCCUCAUUUGAAUAAUUACAUUUUGAACUCACUGAACAAACAAUUGAUUUACUAUUAUCUAAUUGAUCUUUCACGUAAAACACUUGCUUUGCAUGACCAGCUAGAAUGAAACAAUCAGAUUUUUAGCCUAUCCGAUCUAAAUUGACUACAGUGAACCCUAACUCAUCAACAUUAACCCCUCUAUCAUCUACCCAAUCGCACUUGAAAAGUACGUUCUUAACCCCCAGAUAAUCAAGCUGCCAAAUUUCACUGACAACCCCAUAAAAAGGCAUAUCCUCAGAAUGAGGAUUUUUGUCUUUCGAACUUGAAAUCUAUAAAGUGUUAGCAACCAUAUAAAUGCCACUAUUUUGUGUUAUGCGAUUGUUGUCCCGAUCUCUCGUAGCAAAAUUAAAACCAUUAAUACAGUAGCCAUCAUAUGUAACCAUGCUUGAGCGGGGUUUGUUUGCCAGCCACCAUACUUUUUCGUUAACCGCUACAUUAUUUGCUUUAUCAGUUGUUACAUGUUGGUCAAUUAAUAAAAUCACAAUAAUUAGUUGAAAGAGAAAAGUUUGUGUGCCUUUACUUGGAUACUUUUAUUAGAUCUAAUGAAGUUAAUCUAACCUUUUGUUUCAGCCAAUCAGCAAAUGUACGGGAGUGCUCGGUUGGCAACCAUAAAGGCUUUUUUAAUUGUCGAGGGUGUGUUGAUUGCAAUAAGGCCAAAUGCUCCCUAAAAUUAUACCAAUAGAAUUAAUAAAAUUGAAAAAAAAAUUAACGAAAAAGAGGUUCAAAUUUUCAGUCACAUACUCUAUGUAUGGUUGAAUCUCGGGGGUGUUCACCAAAACACAUCGGUGCGCUUGCGCCAAUGUAGGGCCAUCAACCACCUUAAUAUUUGCACCUCCGAGUGACCUUUCGACUGUAAAAUCAAUUAGACAACGAGUAGGUAGUCCGAUUGAAUUACAAUUUGAAAGGUAUUCAGCACAAAAUUCAAGUGCUUCCUCAGCAAUAUAGCACUUUGCAAUGCAACCUUUAGGACGGUAUCGGUUGCGUACAUAACCCUUUAUGGAUACAUCCAUCGAAGCUAAACUGGGCCACAUAAUCUAACUUCUUCAACUAGAUGGACUGUUAAAUGGACCAUUAUAUCGAAGAAGGCAAGUAGGAAAGAUUGUUCUAAAUUGUAUAAGGUGAUUGUAAGUUCUUUUUGCAAUUGGUCUAGAGAAUUGGGCUCUAUUACCUUAGAACACAAAGAAUUAAAGAAGAGGCACAACCUGAUUAUGACAGAUCUGACAUUUUGAGGUAAAUAAUUUUGAAUUGCUAAUGGUAGUAGUUGUUGCAUCAAGGUAUGACAAUCAUGAGACUUAAGCCCGUGAAGACGACAAUCAUCCAUUGAAACAAUAUUUCUAAAAUUAGAACAAUAGUCAUCAGGAACUUUGACACUUUGCAAGGUUUCACAGAACAUUUUUUUUUUCCUUCUUACUUAUAGUGUACGGGGCAAGGGGCAGGACUUUGUUUUGUUCAUCAGGAGCUAAUGCAAUAAAUGCUUUGUUAAUUUUUUCUCUAAGUUCUGGAUGUGUAAGAUCUUUUCUAGCAUUAAUUCCAUCUUUUGUUUUCCCCGGUUUAUGGAGUAAUGUGCCAUAGAUGCUCUCGCAUACAUUUUUCUCAAUAUGCAUCACAUCUAGUUGAUGGCAAACUAAUAAUGUUCCCAAUAUUCUAAAUCAAAGAAGAUUGAUCUAUUUUGUACAACAACUGAGCUACAUCCCCAUGACCCUCACCCUCACCUUCAAUCUCACCCUCACCCUGGUGCCUAACAGUCCUUUAUGCAACCAAGCUAAUCCUUCCCAUUUCUCCUACUUGGGAGCAUCUCCUUAAUCCAGACAAUGCGAACAAAAACAGUUUUUCAAAGAACUGUUGAAAGACAAAGAACCUUUCUAAAGUGCUUGCAAAAAGCCUUAUUUGCAGAUCAAAUGCCACAAGAAAAAGGAUUGUGAUUGCAGUUCAAAGAAAAAACGGCAUUUUCGGAAAUUCAAAACUCCAGAAUUUUCAUCCAAACCUCGCAGAUCCCGAAAGCCCUACCGGUUCUUCAGAAAGAAAUCUUCCUUCUCUAGAGAAUUCAAACGAAAGCAAUCAAGCAGAUGUUUCAUCUGCAAGAGAAAAGGCCAUUAUGCCAAAGAUUGUCCCAACAAAAGAGAAAAAUCCAUCCGGUUAAUUAAGCAUCUUCAAGCAACUACAGACUACUCUCCUGCCAAAGAUGAACUGGAAUUCUAUUUCUCUGAACAAGAUGAACCCAAUGAUGAAACAGUGUUCGCACUACAAAAUUCCUCUGACUCAGACAGUGACCAGUCUCAAGUGAUUUUCCACCAACAGUUACUCUCCCUUGACACUACAGUUCCUAUCCCAUCCAUCAAACUCUAGAUCUUGCCCUCAAAAUUCCAAAGGCCCAUUCCAGCAAUUGGUCUUCUAGAUACUGGUGCCCAACGCAGCAUGUUAAAUCCCCAUAUUCUUCCAUCAGAAUAUUGGACCCAGUUUGAAGAACAUUUCAAAGCUGUCAAUGGCAAACCCUUCACCACCUCUUUGAUUACCAAGAAACCCAUUGGCAUUCAAAUCUUCCCAAAUUGUGUCAUUUGGACCAAGGUUAUUGGUUCAACUCUUCCUAAUAAGGAUAUCUUGUUAGGAUUUGACAUCCUUCAUCAAAUCAAACACCUCCAAAUCGUUCCCACUGGAAUCCGAGUCAAGUCCAUGUUCAAACCAUUCACAGACAUUCUGAAACUCUACAAUUUGUCUGAAACUCCCCAGUCUUACCAGGAUAUUUCAACCAAACUUUUGAGUUUAUGUCCAGAGUCCCAUUCUGAGUUCACCCAUCCAAAUCCCUUGUGGAAAAAUAAGUCUUUCUUCAUUAAGUUACCCUUCAAACUAAAUGAAGACAUUAACCCAACUAAAGCUACCCAUCCAGGAAUGAGUCCUUCUGACUUACUCCUAGCCCAACAAGAAUGUUCACAAUUGUUAGCCAAAGGUUUAAUUGAGCCCACAAGUUCUCAAUGGGCUUGCCAAGCCUUUUAUGUUGAAAAGCAUUAUGAAAUUGUCCAAGGAAAGAAACGCCUAGUCAUUGACUACCAGCCAUUAAACAUGUUUUUACAAGAUGACAAAUUCCCUUUACCUCGCCGACAAAGCAUGUUCACUUUUCUCAAAAAUGCCCAGAUCUUUUCAAAAUUUGAUUUAAAAUCUGGUUUUUGGCAACUAGGCAUUGAACCCUCCGAACGUUACAAAACCACUUUUUGUAUUCCCAAUGCCCAUUUCUAAUGGACCGUCCUACCAUUUGGUCUCAAAACUGCCCCAUCUAUUUUUCAAAAAUCCAUGGUUCAACUCUUCCAGCCUAUCCUGCAUCAUGCAUUGAUUUAUAUUGAUGAUAUCUUGCUUUUUUCAGGCUCACAUGAUGAACAUCGCCAGCUGUUAACUCAAUUCUAUGAUAUUAUCCAAAGUCAUGGAAUCAUGUUAUCGGCUAAGAAAAGCACCAUUGCUACAGAUAAUAUUGAAUUCCUUGGUAUGGUCAUAAAAGAUGGACACUACCAGCCAGGAAAGCACAUUGCCCAAGAAUUGCUUCACUUUCCAGAUCAGCAUCUUUCCAAAAAGCAAAUUCAACAGUUUCUAGGCAUUAUCAAUUACAUCCGUGAUUUCAUCCCACAUGUGGAUCAUUACACUCAUCAUCUUUCGGCCUUAUUGAAAAAGAAGCCCCCAGAAUGGAAUGCUGACCACACAUUUGCUGUCACUACCCUAGAGCAGAUUGCGCAAAAUCCGCCUUCUUUAAAGUUGAUUACAGAUGGAAAGUGCAUCUUACAGACAGACGCAAGCAAUGAAUCAUGGGGUGCCAUCCUCCUUGAAGAACUCAAUGACAAAGAACACUUUAUCGCUUACGCUAGUGGACAAUUCUCUGACACACAAAAGCACUACCAUAGCGUGUUCAAAGAAAUCUUAGCGGUAAAGAAUGGCAUCAAAAAGUUUGAGUAUCAUCUGAUUGGACACCAUUUUCUCAUCCGAAUGGACAAUUCAGCCUUCCCCACUAUUCUCAAUUUUAAAGGUAAAACUGUUCCUAAAAAAAUGUUACUCAGAUUAAAAGAUUGGUUUUCCAAAUAUGAUUUUUCAGUCAAGCAUAUAAAGGGAUCCCAGAACCUCAUCCCUGACAUGCUCUCCAGACCAGAAAACCCUCUUACCCUAUUUUCCACCACCUACCAAUUUCCAAUUAUCUCCAUGGCUACCUCACUACCCCCGGAAGCUCUCACCAAGAAAACUUUUCCCUUCAACAAAAACUUAUCUUCUGUUUUUGCCAUCCAAGAAUUUGCCAGAAAAGCUCUCUUUCGCUUUUUCAUGAAAGCCUACCUUGUCACAGACCCUUUUCCUUUUUCCACUUUCCACCCAGAAAAUCUGUUCCUUACAGGUUUAACCCUUGAUCCAACCAGAGACACUACUGAAGAUGUGUUAUGGUACAUCUGGUGCCUAACAGUCCUUUAUGCAACCAAGCUAAUCCUUCCCAUUUCUCAUACUUUGGAGCAUCUCCUUAAUCCAGACAAUGCCACUUCUCUUACCUGGACAUUACUUGAAUGGUUCUCCCCCAUACCAUGGUGGAGAAAGAAACUGCAACAACUGUUAGAAAUUUACAACCUUGACCGUAUACCUGCCCCUGAAGCACAACUGUUCACAUCAGUCUUUAUUAUUCACAGGCCAUACUUUCAACAUCCAGACACCAAUCUCUUUUGGACUCAAGAUCAGGUAUAUGAAUGGUUCACUGCACCACAUAUAGCUGUCAUUGAAAAUGACAUACAAGACGUCCUGCACAAUUACCUUUGUCAAUUAAACCACCAACCUCCGCCACUUAAAGAUAUCUCCCACACCUCCUUAGGUCCCCAACAUGACCUCCUCAUGAUCCCCACUCAAUCUGCCAUAUCUAAACCUAAGUCCACUGGUAUCAUCAUUAAAGAAGAACGCCCAGAUUACACUGACUUCCUGUACCAAGACUCCCAAGACCCAUGGGAAGACUUCCUUCCCCUCAGCCAGCAUCUCCAACAGUUCCCACAACCUACCAUGUGUGAACCAGGAUCCUCAUCUCAACCACCUCCACAACCCCGCAAACCCACAACAGUAGACAAAGCCACUCAAACACCUGGUCCCAUGCCAGGACCCAAACGUGAUUCUCUAUACUCAUGCUACCAUGGCCCCACUUUGAAGAAUCCAAAGCUCUCUGAAACCUUUUUUCCUCCAGUCUCUCGUGACACUGACCCCGAUGAGACAGACAGCUCAUCCGAAGAUGACUACAUGAAUAUCCACUCUCCAUAAAGUAGUUUGUCUUGUUGUAAUAAUUAUGCUUUGCUUUAUCGUUUUGUCUUGUAUAAUUAUUAAAGUUUGCUUUUACUUUAAGCUUUUGCUUUUGUUAAAGUCAUGCUUUAAUUAUUAAAGCAUCUUUUGUCCUUUGUAAUAAUUAAAGUUGUGUCACGAUGCAUCUUUUGCUUUUUCUUUUGUAAAAGAUAGGGGUCCUGUCCUAUCUUCUCCGAGAAUUCUCCUAUAUAAAGAGUUCUCCCCUCCUUUGUAAGAUAUAGAAGGUUUUCAGAAAUAAACUCUCGUGUGUUUUCUUCCAUGAAUUUCUAAACUCUCCCUUCUCUCUCUGCAAAUGAAGUUCUAAGAAUGAAAAAGAAUAAAGGAUUAAAUUUGUUCAUUUUGAAAACUUAAGGGAGUAUGCUCUGCACUUGCCUUUUGCAAGGAUCAUGUGCAUCAGAAAACUUUCGAUCAUUUCUUAUCUGGUUUGGUACCCUGUUUUAGAUUAAAGAAAAGUCUGUUUUGGGUUGUAUAACCUGAGAAAAAAUGUUUUAAAGGUUUUUUAUUACAGAGGUAUAUCGGCUGGAAACCCGAGCUUGCGGACUACUGGUCCAAAGUACAGUUUUAACUGUUGUAGUUCUGGUAUAACAACGCCACGUAUCUCCGCUGAUAUUAUGGUAUCCUCACCUUACAUGUAAGGAUACCAGAUUCAAGCAAUACCAACAUGUUGUCAUUGGAACCGUUUUAACUACACUCCAUGUUAUAAGUGUAUUGCUAACCUUUUAACCCAAUUUCAACAUGUCCCUCGAAGACCCAAAUCUUCCAGCAACCAUAAAAGUUCAAAUCCAUCUCCAAGGAGCAGACCAAACAACCACAUCAAAAAUAGCCACUCUCCAUCACCAAAUAGUGUAUCGAUUACAGAAUCAUGCACUAGACCUACCCACUGCACAAACAACCACAGAUGCAUUGAUGAUCCUUGCACUGAUAUAAUCCCAAAUACCUAAACAAAUUCAAAAGUAAGAAUUGCUUAAACUUAUGCCACUUGAAUGGCUUUCCAAUUAUGAGCAAUUCCAUCAGAAUUCAGAGCCAAUUCAAACUUCUAAAGCCAUUUUUGAAAGAAGAUCCGAUGGCCAAGUUAAAAUGUCCUUUCAAACUCCAGGACAAUUUUCAGAUCCCGAAACUCCAAGGCUCUCUUAUACUAUUAUGAUUAAGGCAGUAACUUCAGGACAAGAAGAAAAUCUUCCAAUCCAUGGAUUUUCUUCAAAAGGAUAUCUAGUUUAUCAUGACAAAGUCAAUGGUCACUUCUUAUGGGAUGUUCCAGAAGCCCAUAUGUGCAACCCUGAUUUCCUUUGUCUGGACGAUCCAUAUGAUCAUGAUGAAGACUUUGAAAUUAUGAGGAGAAGACGAAGGAGAAAGAAAAAGCCUUCCCAUCCAAAAACUCCUUGCAGAUCAUAUUCUUCGGAACAUCAAUCUAGGAUGUUCACAAAGUCUUUGCCUGUUUUCCAUGAGGUCUUUGAAAAACUCCUUCUGUUCACAAAGUCUUUCUAGACAAAUGAGUACUAACUGAUUGAUUUUUCCCAAGGAGAGGUUGACUAUGUCUAGCUGGUGGAUUGUGAACUGCCUCUGAAGUUCUGGUUGAAUCUCCUUUGGAAGAGAUGCUACGAAAACAUGUUUUAAUGAAGGAUCAUUAAAACUGUUGAGCUUGUAAUACAUUGUAGACAUUCUCUUGUAGUGAAAAUCCAGAUAUUCUAUCUGGAGAGAACAGCACUUCAUUAAAUGAAACUCUCUUCUUGCUUGUUCAUUAACCGCUAUGGCUUCUCCAAGGAACUGGUCAUAUAUAAGCCCGAGGACUCGGGGAAUUUCAGCUUGGAUUAACUGGAGUUUCCUGUAUUGGCCUAGACUUUCAAACCAAUGUCUUAAAGAUCCCAUAAAACGAGAAUUGAACUCUUUAAGGAUGGUUUGGGGUGUUGCUCCAGUUCUGAGCAUCUGAACAUCAAUCUAGGCAGAACAUUCUUGAAACAUGGCUGGCCAUUUCAUUCUUGGAAUGUCAUCAAAGGUAAACCAUGGGCCAUUGGAGGGUUUAAAAGAAGAUUUUUCUUGAUAGGGUGUAUGAUUGGUAUUAGAAUUUGUUUCCUCAACUAUAGGUGUUUGAGGAGGUGAGGAGGGAGAAGGAUCAUUUGACCCAGUUGAUGGCUGAACCAUCAGAAGCUUAGAGAUAUCAACUAAGUCAUCUUCAGAGUUGGAGGAAGAAGAAUAAGAUUAUGAAGAAAAAGAUUCCUCAUCAGUGGAGGUUUAUUCUAAUUCUAAAGGGUGAGGCAAGAUCUGGGAUGAGUAUUGGUGCAUAGGUUCUUUGUUCUUCUAAGUAGAUUGAGGUUCUGGAGAUGAUUGUGGAUCAUAAGGUUGGUGGUAAGCUGGAGGUGGUUCGGUUUUAGUAGGUCUGGAUUGUGGUUUAGCUGGAGCAUGAGUUGGUGUAUGUUUGAGAUGACACAGGCCAAAGAAUUCGGCAUAGUCUAUAGGUUGUCUAGAAGUGGAUGGUGUGUAGAAAGGUUGAUAUGUACUAAAGGUUGGUGUGUGUAGAGGUAAUGAGGAAGAUUUUGCAAACAAAGAAGGUUGUUGUUUGUCUGCAUCAAUCCUGGCAAGUUCAGCUUUUAACUGCCUAAUCUCUGCUUCUUUUUUAUUAAAUUCUGGACCCCAAUAUUUGUUUUGGAUCAUAAACCGCAGAUCUGAAUCAAGUUGGGUAACUCGAUUUUGCAUGUCAAGAUACAUUUAUUCCAGCUGAGAUGUGAAGUCUACCUUUGUGUUUGUCUGCUUGACUUGAAAUGCUACUUUUUUAAUUUUCUCGUUAAGGGAUCUGAAGGUUGAAUUCUGAGCUCUGGUAUUUUGAGUUUGCCAGUUUAGUACGGCUUCAAAAGGUUUUGGUUCUUCAAGCAAGUUGUCUGCACUCCUAAAAAAGAAUCCACCAUUCUGGUCAGAAAUCCACAUAGAUGCUGUAAAGUAAUUAAAGCAGAUUGCCCAGAAUCCGCCACCUUUAAAGAUUAUCACAGAUGGCAAAAUGAUUCUACAAACAGAUGCAAGUGAUGAAUCAUGGGGGGCCAUCCUUCUUGAAGAAUGCAAUGGAAAAGAACACUUUAUUACUUAUACAAGUGGACAAUUCCCUGAUGCACAAAAGCAUUAUCACACGGUCUACAAAGAAAUCUUAACCAUGAAAAAUGGUAUCAAAAAAUUUGAAUUCCAUUUGAUUGGCCAUAGAUUCUUGAUCCGACUAGAUAAUUUAGCUUUUCCCAAUAUCUUGAACUUUAAGUAGAAGGUUGUUCCAGAAAAAACCUUGCUUCAACUUAAAGAAUGGUUCUCAAGAUAUGAUUACCAUGUCCAGCAUAUAAAAGGAGAUCAUAACCUCAUCCCAGACUUACUAUCCAGACCUCCAAAACCAAAACCUCCCUAGUUUUUUUGUAUCACUUCUUAGAUUUCCUUUCCUAUUAUCGUAAUGGCUAGUUCACUCCCUAAAAUAGCCCUCACCCAGAAGUCUUUCCCACUCAACAUGACUUUUCAGUCUCCUCACCAGAUCCAAGACUUUGCGAGUAAAGAACCUAUAUUUUUUCCCAGUUUUCAUCCUGAUCACCUUUUCCUCACAGGAUUAGUAAUCACUCCACAUCGAGAUAUUACUGAAGAUGACCUUUGGUAUAUCUGGUAGCUUACUGUUCUGUAUGCCACAAAAAUGGUUUUCCCACUUUUACCCCUCCUCAACAAGCUCAAUCAUCCAGAGCUCUCCACUUCUCUUACCAGGACUCUCUUUGAAUGGUUUUCGCCAUUACCAUGGUGGCGCAAAAAACUACAACAGAUUGUUGACACACAUCAUCUUCUAGAGCUUCUAGACCAAGAAGGAAAACAGUUCACUACUAUUUUUAUUAUCCACCGUCCAUACUUCCAGCAUCCUCAAACUAAAGAUUUUUUGACACAUAAUCAGAGUUAUGAAUGGACCAUUGUCCCUCACAUUGCCUGUUUUGAACAAGAUUUUCAAAUAAAGACUUCCUUAAAGAACUUCCUCAUGGAACUUAACCAUAUUCCUCCAGACCAACCAGAUAUCCUCCACACAUCUCUUGGACCAAAACAUGAAAUGUUCAUGAUUCCCACACCAUCCUUACAUUCUCAACCACCCAACCGAGGAAUCAUCAUAAAAGAAGAAAAGCAAGACUACACUGACUUUUUAUUCCAAAAUUCCCAAGAUCCUUAUGAAGAUUUUACCCCGGUACCUUCACCAUCACCAUAUGAAUUCCCAGGAUCAUCAUCUCCUCCAUAUCCGCCAUUUUCCUCAGCCAGCUCCUCCAUCACCAAAAAGUCAAUAUUGCCCUUGGCCAUGUGUUCUAGGAUGUUCUCAUCCAGAAAAAAUCUUCAAGAAAAACAAAGACCCUGAUCAUGAUCCUAAUGAGACAGAUUCCUCCUCAUCCGAAGACGCGUCAAUAUCUCUCUAAAGAGAUUUGUCUCUUUGUAAUAAUGUAAAAUAAAGUACUGUGUGCUUUAUGCUUUAACUUUUUUAAAGUUGUUCCAGUGAGCCUUAUCUACUUUUGUAAAAUAUGUGUGCUGUGUGCCAGCUGGAAUGAUCUUAAUCCAGCUUUUGUCUUUUCUCCUCCUUAUCUUUAUAUAAGGAGAGUUAUUUUGAAUAAAAGGAAGAGAGUUUUUAGAUAACAUUUAAAAGUUUCAAUAUUCCACCCUAUGGAUAAUUAAAACCUUCGUUUCUAUUCUUUAAUUCUAAGAUUCUUUAGGUUUAGAACUCUUACCCUUGUUCAAUAUCUAUCUUCUGCAAGUAUGCUCUGCACUUGCCUUAAAAAAAGAUCCUGUGCACCAGAAAGCUAGUCAGGCUGUCAUUCUUUCUUUGUUCUUAGACAACAGAUGAAACCCUGUCUUUAGACUAAGUGACCAAGGAGAGUCUGUGUCUUUUUGGGUUGUCUAUGCUCUUAGUUCAUCGAAAAAAUACGGAAUGUCUGGUAUCUCGUAACCACGUCAUUCUCGUAAACCCCAGUUGGUAUCAGAUUUAUCAAAAUCUUCAUGAUAGAUUUACUCAACUUGACUCUCAACUUCAGACUAUGCUUGCUCAACAAGUCUAUAGUCCUAAUUUUGAUAAAAAAAAAGAAGCCGAGAUAAGAGCUUUGAAGACUGAUAUUGCCAGAAUUGAUUCAAAAAUGGUCCAGCCUACCCUUUUUACAAGUUCUGCUCCUUUACCAGUAAUUAAUCCUACUUAUCAUCCUUUCUUACCAUCAACUUCUUCCCGAACAUAUGAUUUUUCUAAACUUUUUGGUAUGACCCAUACUUUGUUUUCUCCACAUCCACGACCUCAACCAAGACCAAAGAAGACCCCAAAACCAGUCCUAGUUCAAAAAUCAAUUCCUUAGCAAAAUCCUCAAACAUCCCGAUUUGAACCAUCACCCUCUUCAUCACCAACUUCUUUACCUGAGUCUACUCAACCGCCGCCAAUCCAAACUUCUGUUUCUCUAGAAAAACAACCCAUGUACCAAUAUUCUGCUCACCAAAUUUCCCAUUCUCCAUUUCUAGAUUCUUCUAUUGAAAAUUCUCCUUCACAGUCAGAUUUAUCAUCCAUUGAGUCAUCUAAUUUGUCUGACUCAGACAUUUCUGAUUCAAAUGUAGCUGAUAUUUCCAAACUCCUCAUGGCAGAACCUAUUGAACAGUCUGGUGCCACUGACACUGGCCCACGCACUGAAACUGUUGAUACUGAUGAAGCAAAUCAUGAAACUAGUGAAUCUUCUCAGUCCAUUCCACCUCAGCGAAAAGUCUCCAAACCUUUAAAUGGACCAUGGUUUACUUUUGAUGAUAUCCCUCCAACAAAAUAGAGAGAAAGAUUACAAGAAUUAUCUGCUUGGAUUGAUCUCCAAAUGUUAGCUCCAGAUGCAACAACCCAAUCUGUUCUGCGAGAAUUCAGUACUCAGUUUAUGGGUUCUCUUCAAGAUUGGUUUGACAGUCUUGGACAAUAUAGACAACUUCAGUUCAUUCAGAUUCCCGAUGUCUCUCAGGCUUUGACCCUACUCCAUGACUUUUGAAGCUGCAGGACGUGAUUAUCUCAACAUGAAAUGUUGUUCUCUCAACACAAAAGAUCUUCAUUACCUUUCAAGCUAAAUGAAUACAACAACCCAACCAAAGCUACCCAUACAGGAAUGACCCCACAAGACCUUACCCUGGCC